rnacentral:lncRNA from 1 species
CGAUGAUGUAGCUGAUGUUGAACAACUACAAAGUUUAGCUGCAAAGCGUGAUUGGUUUGGUCUAGGCAGCAGGAUUCUAAUAACAACGAGAGAUAAACAGUUGUUGGUGGCACAUGAAGUGGGUGAAGAGCAUAUUCUUAACCUUGACGUACUAAAUGACAAUGAAGCUCUUCAACUCUUUAGUAUGAAAGCUUUUAAAAGCCAUCAGCCAGUGGAAGAAUAUGUGGAGCUGUCUAAACGUGUUCUGAACUAUGCCAGUGGUCUUCCAUUAGCUCUAAAAGUUUUGGGAUCCUUUCUUAUUGGUAGAUCUGUGGAUCAAUGGAGAAGUGCCCUGGAGAGACUAAAAAGAGAUCCCUCAAAUAAGAUUAUGAGUAUACUUCAAAUAAGUUUUGAUGGACUACAAGAUUCUGAGAAGAAAAUAUUUCUCGAUGUUGCAUGCUUCUUUAAACAGAAAAAUAGAGAUUACGUAACAAAAAUUCUAGAGGGAUGUGGUUUUUUCCCAGUCAUUGGAAUAGAAGUUCUUAUUGAAAGAUCUCUAUUAACAGUUGACGACUACAACACACUGGGGUUUUAGUAUUCAUGAUUCAACACUUUUUUCAAUUACAAUAGUAGUACUAUUAAUGAAUUAAUAUUUGCAAAUGAAGAUUUAAAUUAUUGUAUUUUGAACUUUUGAAGACUAUAUAAUAUGUUGUGAUGCUUUGUCCUCUAUUAAUCAGAUUUAAAAAAAAAAAGAAACUUUAUUCUUUGAUUGACUCUUUGCUAAAUACUAAUAAGAGCAACGAACACCAAUGAUAUAUCAAUAUCAUUGCAUAUUUAGCUAAUCUAAUUAAUUUCAUGUGUGUAAUAAUGAUCUUAUCAAAAACUUAUCUAAAAUCUCUUUCAAUCUAAUUUAUCAUGUUAUAGAAAGAAAUAAUAUAUCAAUAAUGAAUGAAAAAAAACUGCAGAAGAAAUUAAAUAAUUUUUGAACCCUCAAAUCCCAAUGCAACACAAUCCAUACCAUGUUUAUUGUGUCGAGUUUGAAUUUUCUCAUUCCAAUUGCUUUUGACUUAACUAUAGCAGGUUACUUAAUUAUAUGACUUCAAUUUGAUGAAAUGAUAUUGCAAAGUUUGGAUUUUAUACAUAAUAUGAAAUUGAUUUGCUACUACUUCACACUAGCUUUACCACACCAAUAUUUUCUUGUUGCUUUCAAUAUGCAGAAAUGAGUCAGAAUUUAUUGAGGAAAUUGUCAAUGUGAUAUCAAGUAAAAUUCAUACAGAGCCAAAGACUGUUAAGGAGUUGGUAGGAAUAGAAUCACGCUUGGAGAAACUCAGGUUUCUUAUGGGUACAGGGUCUACUGAUGUUCGUAUGAUAGGGAUAUGGGGUAUGGGAGGUCUGGGAAAGACAACUCUUGCAAGAGUUGUUUAUGACUUGAUCUCUCAUGAAUUUUAUGCGAGUAGUUUCCUUGCCGAUGUUAGAGAAAGAUUUGAAAAAGAAGGCAGUGUAAUCUCUUUACAAAAGCAACUCCUUUCCAAUUUACUGAAUCUUGGAGAUAUUAACAUAUGGCAUGUAGAUGAUGGUAUUAACAUAAUUGGAAGUAGGCUGCGACAGCAAAAGGUUCUUCUUAUAAUCGAUGAUGUAGCUGAUGUUGAACAACUACAAAGUUUAGCUGCAAAGCGUGAUUGGUUUGGUCUAGGCAGCAGGAUUCUAAUAACAACGAGAGAUAAACAGUUGUUAGUGGCACAUGAAGUGGAUGAAGAGCAUAUUCUUAACCUUGAUGUACUAAAUGACGAUGAAGCUCUUCAACUCUUUAGUAUGAAAGCUUUUAAAAGCCAUCAGCCAGUGGAAGAAUAUGUGGAGCUGUCUAAACGUGUUCUGAACUAUGCCAGUGGUCUUCCAUUAGCUCUAAAAGUUUUGGGAUCCUUUCUUAUUGGUAGAUCUGUGGAUCAAUGGAGAAGUGCCCUGGAGAGACUAAAAAGAGAUCCCUCAAAUAAGAUUAUGAGUAUACUUCAAAUAAGUUUUGAUGGACUACAAGAUUCUGAGAAGAAAAUAUUUCUCGAUGUUGCAUGCUUCUUUAAACAGAAAAAUAGAGAUUACGUAACAAAAAUUCUAGAGGGAUGUGGUUUUUUCCCAGUCAUUGGAAUAGAAGUUCUUAUUGAAAGAUCUCUAUUAACAGUUGACGACUACAACACACUGGGGAUGCAUGAUUUGUUACAGGAAUUGGGACAACUGAUUGUUACAAGACAAUCCCCCGAAGAACCUGGGAAACGCAGCAGAUUAUGGAGGCAAGAAGAAGUGCGCCAUGUGUUGACAAAAAAUGCGGUAAGUGAAUUAUUAAAUGGAGAACAUGUUGUGCUCAUUAAUUUCCUUUACCCUGAUGAAUUUUAAAAUUAUUGUUUUAUUUGCUUAUCCUUUGCUUAUGUUUUCAGGGAAGUGAAGUAGUUGAAGGAAUGAUAAUUGAUGUUCAUUUCUUUCUUAAAAAUGAGGUGCGUUUAAGUGCUAAAGCAUUUUCGCUGAUGACCAACCUAAGAUUUCUCAAUAUUGGUAAUGUGCAACUUCCUGAAGGCCUUGAAUACCUAUCUAACAAGUUGCGGUUACUUAAUUGGCAUCGAUAUCCUUUGAAAUCAUUGCCAUCAAAUUUGCAAUUGGAUAAAAUUGUUGAAUUUCAAAUGUGUUACAGCCACAUUGAAGAAUUAUGGAAAGGAAUCAAAGUAAGAUCAGUGUUUUUGUCACUAAUUUAUUUUUUUAGUGAAUAAUUGUUGAUAACAAUUUUAUUAUUAUAACUGUAUAUGAAUUAAGAAAUAUCAUUUUAACUCCCUUUUGUUUUCAACAGCCUUUAAACACGUUGAAAGUCAUGAAGCUCAGCCAUUCAGAGAACCUGAUAAAGACCCCAAACUUCAUAGAGGUCCCCAACUUAGAGGUGUUGGAUCUUAAAGGAUGUACAAGUUUGCGUGAAAUUCACUCGUCUUUGCUACGUCACAAUAAGCUGAUCUUGUUGAAUUUGAAAGGUUGUACAAGUCUUACAACUCUUCCGGGUGAGAUUUUUAUGAAAUCUCUUAAAACACUUGUUCUUUCUGGUUGCUUGAAAUUGAGGAAAUUUCCACACGUUGGGGGAAGUAUGGAGUGUCUGCAGGAACUUUUUUUGGAUGAAACUAAUAUCAAAGAAAUGCCACUAUCAAUUGAACAUCUAUCCGGACUUGUUCAAUUGACUUUGAAAGACUGCAAAAAUCUCUCGAGUCUGCCGGUUACUAUUAGCAGUUUAAAAUGUCUAAGAACUCUAAAGCUAUCUGGUUGCUCGAAAUUGAAAAAGUUUCCAGCGAUUGUGGCAAGUAUGGAAGACCUGUCCGAGCUCUAUCUGGAUGGAACUUACAUUACAGAAGUGCCAUCAUCUAUUGAACUUUUGACCGGACUGGAAUUGUUGAAUUUGAAUGACUGCAAAAAUCUCGUGAGACUUCCCAACAGUAUAAAUGGUUUGAAAUCACUCAAAACUUUGAAUCUCUCAGGCUGCUGCAAACUUGAAAAUGUGCCUGACACGCUUGGGCAAGUAGAAAGUUUGGAAGAACUUGAUAUAAGCGGAACAGCUACAAGACGACCUCCAUCCUCCAUUUUUCUUAUGAAGAAUCUUAAAACACUCUCUUUUUCUGGGUGCAAUGGACCACCAUCAACUGCAUCAUGUCAUUUGAACCUUCCUUUUAAUUUGAUGAGAAAGAGUUCAUGUCCUGUAGCUUUGAUGUUGCCUUCUCUGUCAGGUUUGUGCUCUUUAUCUAAAUUAGAUCUCAGUGACUGUGGUCUAAGGGAAGGAGCAAUCUUGAGUGAUAUUUGCAACUUACACUCAUUAAAAGAGUUGUAUCUGAGUGGAAACAAUUUUGUUACGCUGCCAGCAAGCAUUAGCGGUCUCUUUAAUCUUAAAUAUCUAGAGUUGGAAGAUUGUAAAAGGCUUCAAUCUCUGCCACAACUUCCACCCAACGUAAUCAAAGUUAGUGUGAAUGGUUGUGCAUCGUUGUUGACAUUAUUAGGUGCAUUAAAACUACGCAAGUCCAGCUGGACGACAAUUUAUUGUAUAGACAGCUUGAAAUUGCUCGAAAAGAACGAUUUGGCAAUUUCAAUGCUACGAGAGCACCUUGAGGUCAGUCUCUUACUCCGUAUCUUACAACUAUGCUAAGAUUAUGCUUGGCAAUUAAGCAACGGUAUGGACUUGUUCAUUUUUUAUUUUUCAGUUGCAGGCAGUGUCAGAUUCAGACCGUAACUUGAGCAUUGUUGUCCCAGGAAGUGAAAUUCCAAAGUGGUUCAUGUAUCAGAAUGAGGGUUCUUCAAUAACAGUCACAAGGCCUUCAUAUUUGUAUAAUGUGAAUAAGGUCGUGGGGUAUGCUGUUUGCUGUGUUUUUCAUGUCCCCAAGCAUUCAACUGGUAUCACAGGAUGGAGGGGGCGUUCAGAUCCCAUAUAUAUGUUGGACUGCUCUAUGGAUGGUUCUAAUGGCAGGCAUGUUAUAGAGUUUAGAGAGAAAUUUGGUCAUCGUGGGUCUGACCAUCUUUGGCUACUCUUUUUGUCUCGAUAUAAACACUAUAAGAACAAUUGGCUUUUUGAAUCUCAUCAUUUUAAGUUGUCGUUUACUGAUGGUCUAGUGUUAAACCUUCUGACUGGGUCAGGUACUGGAUUGAAGGUGAAGAGGUGUGGCUUCCAUCCAGUUUAUAAACAAAAAGUCGAGGAGUUUGACGAAACAACAAAGCAAUGGACUCACUUUACUUCUUAUAAUCUGAAUCAAUUCCAUUGCGAUUUUGUUGGAUCAAAUAUGGAAGUAGCCACAACAUCAAAGCUAAGCCUUGCAGAAAAUGCCGGGGCAGCUGAGGCCAGUGGCAGUGGCUGCUGUGAUGAUGAUUAGGAACCACUCCCCUAAAAGAUUUAGACAACUUAAAUGAAGGGCAAAGCCUAGUAUAACAGUGUAAGUACGCAUUCCAAUUUCAAUUUAUGUUCUUUAAAUUUGCACAUGGUAUUUCAUUUUACUUUUUAUUUAUUCUAAUCUUGCAAUUUAUUUUCACGUUAAAUUACUAAAAAUGCUCGACUUGGAUUCAAAAGUUGGUCAGAAUCAGAAUGUUGCUCGACCAAAUUGAAGCUUUGAAUUUUGUGAUUUCUCAUCAGUUGAAAAUUACAGAAAGUGGGAAAAUCCGUUUUCGUUUUCUUACCUGUAUCUCUGUUUCAUUGCAGUGUUCUCUCAUUUUGUAUCCAUUAUUACAAGUGCGAGUUUCCUUUUCGCUUUAAUUUAAUGUUUCUCCCAUGAUGUGGCCAUAUGUAGCCAAACCCGAUACCUAAUCGAAGUCGGUGAUUCCAACCCCUCUCUACUCCCUAUAGAAAUGGCAGCCACAAUCUCCGCUUCAGCUUGUUCCGUCCCCUAAACACUCAUUUGUCCCCAACGACGUCGUUUCAAGAAACAAACGACAAAUCAUGUCGGGAAACUCCAACUCCGGCUGCAACGUCUACAUAGGUAAAAAUAACCUCUCAAAUCUCAGUUCUAUCAUCAAUUUUUCCAAAAUCGAUUUCUAAAUUUUCUUUUUUGUUAUUAAUUUAAUUGAAUUUAAUUAAUAUUAUUAUAGGUAAUUUGGAUGAGAAAGUGAACGAGAGAGUGCUUUACGAUAUUCUAAUUCAAGCAGGGCGAGUAGUUGAUUUAUAUAUACCUCGAGACAAGGAAACUGACAAACCAAAAGGCUUCGCCUUUGUUGAAUAUGAAUCCGAAGAGAUCGGCCACUAUGCCAUUAAGCUUUUUUCCGGCAUUGUCACUCUCUACAAUCGAACCCUCAGAUUUGCUGUACGUAACCUUUUUUUCUUUUUUUUUAUAUUUGUAUAGUUUCAUUAAGUUUUGGCUGAAAUGCAAAUAGACCCAAUUUCUUUAGCUUUGGGAUAAUAACAUCCAGUCCCUUAGUUUUCUUAAAAUCACGGGUAAAUGUCACACUUUGCUAUUUUUUUUCGUUUGGGUCCUCAGUGAAAACAAUGAUUUCACGGUUAUUAUACUCAGCUUAUCUAGAGACAUUUCACAUUUGCUUCAAUGUUUUGAGGAGUAUAACAUUAUACUUGCAAGUAGGUUGAUAUACAGUUGAUACGGCAGUUAUCCACUGGGAUAUCCGAAUUUUGCAUAUGUAGUGUUACUCCUGUUAAAAUUUGGUAGACGGUUCCAACAAUUGUUAAAAAGGAUUUUUGUGUUAAUUGUUAAGGUUUUAGAGAAUUUCUGGAGAAUUUUGAGGUUAAUUAAAUGUUUUAAACAAACAGUGAAAUCAUGUUUAUAAUGUCCCACUUGAAGCUUUUUGGAUUGACAUAGACUUUGAUGAACAGCUUUCUGGGCAAGACAAAAACGCGCAAAACUCAUCCAUGACAACUACCCCUUUGUCAUCUCGUAAAUCUAGGAGCGAUCCAGUACCCAUGCCAGUUAACGGUAUGGAAAUUUCUCACCAUUCGAUGAGGAUUUCAGUUCCCCGUCAUUAUUCUUCCGAAGGUGAUGUCUUUCUUCCUUUUUCUUCUGUACAGUGUUUUUUGAUAGUAUUUGUUUUCUUGCUUUGCUGAGAAACCUUCUUUUUGAUACAGAGCCGCCUCCCCCUGGUGUAACACUUGAAACUAAUGGGUAUGAGACACAUCUCAAUGUUACCAAUUAUGAUUACAGUCGAAGGGUUUUUGGGGCAACAUUGGAUAGUAUUAGUCGCUCUAGAUCUGGCCACUAUAAUAGUAGUAAUCGACAUUACUGAUGCUUAUCAUGUCACUUAGUCAAAAAGAACUCUUUUUCAUGUAAAGUAAAAGUGUGGUACAUUGUUAUGGUUAAGGUAAGAUAAGCUUGUUUCAGUUUCUAACUAGUUCCCGUAGGUGUGUCAACCCAUGGCUGGACUUGAGAAAGCUGUACUUAAUUUUUUAUCGUAAAAAAUUGUUUGUUGUUUUAAUUGUAAAAGUAGCAUCUGUCAUUAUUCUGGACUUUGAAACCUGAUAGGAGGCAGUUAUUUAUUUUUAACACUUGUCCUGCAAUUAAUUGAAAUGUCUUUUUGAUUGUUGAUAUAGUUAAAUUAAUUUUAUCAUGUUGCUGCGGUAUUGGUUUGUAGACUUAUUAUUAUUAUUAUUUGGGAAUGAACAGGAAAACUGAUGAUUUAUGUAUUUGUGUUUAUUAUAUAUAUGUUUAUUUGUGUGCUUUCAUACAUGAAUAACCCCAAUCUUAAUUUGUAAACUUCUCCUGACUUCUUCUUUAUAAAUAGUAAUAUAUCUAUAGAAGUUUCUUCGUUGCUAAAGUAGUUGAUAUCUGGUUGAGAUUGAGAUUGAGAUCUGACUUACUUGAUAAUGUGGAAGAUUAUAAACAUAUAGUAAACAUGCAAAUAUUCAAGUAAACUGAAAAGGGUUAGUCAGGUAUCUUGAUUGGUUUAGUUCAUAAUUUCCUGAUUUACUCCCAGGGACUGUUGGAGAGGGACUUCCUUUGAUUUGUAGAUGUCAAAUUUGGGGUCCCCAUCAAAUCAGAGUCUGCAAGAUAUAUUUUGUAUGUCCAAUACUUUUUGCUUGAUGCUCUGAUCGAACCUUUAAUUAAUUAAUUAAUUUAUUUAUUCUGAGCUCAGUGCUGCUUUUACUUGCUUGCUCAAGUAAAUAUUUAUCACUUUGCUAUUGGUCACUUAUUUUUACUUUUAAUUUGGGCUGUUUUUGUGAAUUUCAUUCGAUUCUGAGUUUUUUCAAUGAGAAGUUGUUUUUCGUUAAGUUAUUGGCUGAUUUUUGGGCCAAAACAUUGUUUUUGCUUUAGACAGUUGUUGCUAUCCCUCUACCUGAUCUGGGAUGCAGUGGGAAGAAUUAUAUUGGUUUGAACCCAUCCUGCUCCUUUCUGGCAUUUUUUAUAUUUAUGACACUGACCAAAUUUUGGGUGGAUUCAAAGGAAAUUCUGUGAAUUUAGAAGUUCUUUAGAGUGCCUUGUUAUCACAUUAGGGGAGCGAUACCCAUGCCAGUUAACGGUAUGGAACUUUCUCACCAUUCGAUGAGGAUUUUAGGUCCCCGUCAUUAUUCUUCCGAAGGUGAUGUCUUUCUUCCUUUUUCUUCUGUACAGUGUUUAGAUAGUAUUUGUUUUCUUGCUUUGCUGAGAAACCUUCUUUUUGAUUCAGAGCCGCCUCCUCCUGGUGUAACACUUGAAAUUAAUGGGUAUGAGACACGUCUCAAUGUUACCAAUUAUGAUUACAGUCGAAGGGUUUUUGGGGCAACAUUGGAUAGUAUUAGUCGCUCUAGAUCUGGCCGCUAUAAUAGUAGUAAUAGACAUUACUGAUGCUUAUCUUGUAUCAUAGAAAAUUGUUUGUUGUUUUAAUUGUAAAAGUAGCAUAUCUGUCAUUGUUCUGGACUGUGAAACCUGAUAAGAGGCGGUUAUUUAUUGUUAACACUUGUCCUGUAAUUAAUUGAAAUGUCUUUUUGAUUGCUGAUAUAGUUAAAUUAAUUUUAUCAUGCUGCUGCAGUAUUGGUUUGUAGACUUUUUGUUGUCAUUAUUAUUAUUAUUUGGGAAUGAACAGGAAAACUGAUGAUUUAUGUAUUUGUGUUUAUUAUAUAUAUGUUUAUUUGUGUGCUUUCAUACAUGAAUAACCCCAAUCUUAAUUUGUAAACUUCUCCUGACUUCUUCUUUAUAAAUAGUAAUAUAUCUAUAGAAGUUUCUUCAUUGCUAAAGUAGUUGAUAUCUGGUCGAGAUUGAGAUUGAGAUCUGACUUACUCGAUAAUGUGGAAGAUUAUAGUUCUCAGUAGUUAAGUAUAAAACAUAUAGUAAACAUGCAAAUAUUCAAGUAAACUGAAAAGGGUUAGUCAGGUAUCUUGAUUGGUUUAGUUCAUAAUUUCCUGAUUUACUCCCAGGGACUGUUGGAGAGGGACUUCCUUUGAUUUGUAGAUGUCAAAUUUGGGGUCCCCAUCAAAUCAGAGUCUGCAAGAUAUAUUUUGUAUGUCCAAUACUUUUUGCUUGAUGCUCUGAUCGAACCUUUAAUUAAUUAAUUAAUUUAUUUAUUCUGAGCUCAGUGCUGCUUUUACUUGCUUGCUCAAGUAAAUAUUUAUCACUUUGCUAUUGGUCACUUAUUUUUACUUUUAAUUUGGGCUGUUUUUGUGAAUUUCAUUCGAUUCUGAGUUUUUUCAAUGAGAAGUUGUUUUUCGUUAAGUUAUUGGCUGAUUUUUGGGCCAAAACAUUGUUUUUGCUUUAGACAGUUGUUGCUAUCCCUCUACCUGAUCUGGGAUGCAGUGGGAAGAAUUAUAUUGGUUUGAACCCAUCCUGCUCCUUUCUGGCAUUUUUUAUAUUUAUGACACUGACCAAAUUUUGGGUGGAUUCAAAGGAAAUUCUGUGAAUUUAGAAGUUCUUUAGAGUGCCUUGUUAUCACAUUAGGUCCCAUGUGUCUUCCUGCUCGACUUGUAGAAUAGCCUGAUGUACAAAUGAACUGUUUGGCAUCUGAAUGGAAGCCUGAUAGCUAGAAUCGAAACAGGCCUGGAGUGCUGGAACACUUGUGCACUACCCUAGUGAUUUGACACAUGAACAAUGGUCGAACAACAAACACAUCAUGCCAGAAUUAAAGAAAAGUCCCCUUGUGUCUGUAUAACCUUAUCAAAACAGAGUCCAGAUUUUUUUACAGCAACAACACAGGAUGUUCAUAUGGACUUCUACACACUUCUAUUCGGUUAUAUAGCUAUUCAUACGCUAUCUACAUUGGAUGGGGACAAACCUUGGGAUGACCAGUGGUCUCCUUCCUUAGCUGAUGAUGGAACCUACCCGGAUCUGGCUUAGCGGCUGUCUAGGCGUCCUUGCCAUCAAGUAGCAGUCUUAGACAUGCAAAGAAUUAAAUGAAAUAUGAGAUGCUGCCAAUUCUCUUGUAGCUUCCUUCCUCAAUGAGUGCAGUACUCCCCCACAUUAUUCUGUCAGCAUCCUUCCUCCAUCGGCAGAACACAGCCGCAUUUGAUGGCAUUCUGUUUGCAAGCUUCAGCAUGGUGGAUGGAAGGUGAUUGACAAAAUGCUGAGACAGGGUAUUGAGUGUGAAAUGAGAGUGGGUGUGGAGUUUUGUUGCUUUAGCUUGCGCUGGGGGGAGAUUAAAUAAUUGCUGAUUUAGGAUUAUUUGAAUGAACUUUGACGUUGUUUCUUCAGCCAAAGCAUUGACGUCGGUUUUCAUUGAGUGAAAUUUUCUUUUGCUGGGCUGCAUACGUGAGUAUGUUGACUUCAUUCAACUUUAGAAAAUAGUCCUACAGUGUUUAAUACUUUAUUUGCGAUGAAGAUUGCAUUCGUAAUACUUAGAUUUUAUGAUCAUGAUUCUUUAUCUUCUUUAGUAAUAGAAAGGAUCGUGCAAUGAUCAUUGCACGAUACAAAGUCACCAUACACUAAACUAAAAUACAAGAAAACAUUCAAAUGCUUCAUACUUUAUUUGCGAUGAAGAUUGCAUUCGUAAUACUUAGAUUUUAUGAUCAUGAUUCUUUAUCUUCUUUAGUAAUAGAAAGGAUCGUGCAAUGAUCAGUGUACGAUGCAAAGUCACCAUACACUAAACUAAAAUGCAAGAAAACAUUCAAAUGCUUCACCAAUCUUUCUGGUGGCACAUUGUUAAGGAAGUCCGGUAUGCUGAGCUCACAGAGUGUGGGAGUAAGAAGGAGAAGAAGCUUCAGUCUCAGUCAGUCAAACGUUUCAGCAAUGCCAGCUCAUCAGAGUUAGUUAAGCAAGUUGCCAGAUCAGCACAAGUUUGUUGAGAUUGUUAUUAGUCAUUUCGUAUGUGUGUAUAACGAAAUGUAAUUAGCUUAAGUUGCAAUCUUGUGCAUGUAUAUAAGUUGAGUUGAUUCUGUUGUUAAUGUUUAAGAAAAAUCAAUAAGAAAUAAAGUGAUUUUUUCUCUAAAAAAUAUUUUCCUCAGAAACAAACAACUUCGUUUUCUCUUUUAUGGUAUCAGAGCCAUCCAUGGCUAGUUCCUGUACAAUAAAUCAAAAUCGUUUAAAUUUCAAUCAAAUGCAUUCCACACAAACUUCAUUUACUUUUGCUACAACAGUAAAACUCAAUCGAUCAAAUUUCCUUCUUUGGCACAAAUAAGUGAUUACUUCAAUCAGAGGGAACCGACUUGAAGGAUUAAUCUCAAAGAAGCAGAAUAUUCCAGAACAACAUAUUUCUCAGUCACAAGCUGAUGGAUCUGUGGAAAGGAUUGAAAAUCCAGCUUAUGUCAACUGGAGAGCUCAAGAUCAAACUCUGCUUAGCUGGCUUCUUUCAACAAUUAGUUAUUUUCCUCAGAAACAAACAACUUCGUUUUCUCUUUUAUGGUAUCAGAGCCAUCCAUGGCUAGUUCCAGUACAAUAAAUCAAAAUCGUUUAAAUUUCAAUCAAAUGCAUUCCACACAAACUUCAUUUACUUUUGCUACAACAGUAAAACUCAAUCGAUCAAAUUUCCUUCUUUGGCACAAAUAAGUGAUUACUUCAAUCAGAGGGAACCGACUUGAAGGAUUAAUCUCAAAGAAGCAGAAUAUUCCAGAACAACAUAUUUCUCAGUCACAAGCUGAUGGAUCUGUGGAAAGGAUUGAAAAUCCAGCUUAUGUCAACUGGAGAGCUCAAGAUCAAACUCUGCUUAGCUGGCUUCUUUCAACAAUUAGUGAAGGUAUCUUAGGCUCAGUUCUUAACUAUGAUACUUCUUUUGAUAUUUGGAGAUCUAUUGAAAAGCAAUUUGGAGUGCAAUCUGAAGCAAAAAUAAUGCAACUUCGAUAUGAAUUAGAUACUCUGAGAAAAGAGUCAAUGUCUAUUGAAGAUUAUUGUUCGAAAAUGAAAAUGCUAGCUAAUAAACUUGCAUGUGCUGGAGAUAACAUAACUAAAAAAGAUUUGCUGAUAAGGACACUAAAUGGACUUGGAUCUGGCUUCAAUAAUUACAGCCAAUAAGAUGAGUUAUGAUGAUGCAUAUGCACUUUUACUAACACAUGAAGCUAGGCUGGAACAAAAUUAGAACCCUCAGGCCAUGUUUAAUGCAAAUUAUAGUAUGAUGAAUACAAAUUAUUCACAUAUGAGGGGUGCUCCUAGGAGAAAUGCUUAUGGUAAUGGUAAUGCUACCUAUGAAUAAUCUGGAGGCAGAGGUCAGUUUUUUGGUCGAGGCAUGUUUUCUGCUUCUUAUCCUAGAGGUUUUCUAGCUGGUAGUAGUACUGCUAGUGGUUUUGGUAUAGGAAAUGUUGCAGGUUUUGGAAGAAAUCAGUUCAUGCAGUCUCAUAGGCCACCACAAAUGAGGCACAUGUUCUCUCCUGCUAAUACUUCAAAUGUUUCUGAAUCAAGUGAGCCAGUACCUAUAUGUCAAAUAUGUCACAAGCAAGGACAUACUGCUGAUGCAUGUUGGUAUAGGUAUGGUGAUGCUUAUGUUUCUUCACCUAAACAAUUUGGGAGAGGAAAAAUGAUGGGAUCAAAGACUGCAUAUAUGGCUAAUUUUGAGCCAUUUCCUUAUCAACUAUCAUCAUUUAAAGAUCCUUAUGAAGCUUCAGAUCUGGCUCUCAAUUCAUGAACUAUUCUCCUGCUUCUUCUUCUUAUCCAUCAGAGGCAUUUACUCUGCCUGAAGCCUAUGUUGCAAAUGUUAAAGGUUCAACUGAUGAAGGGUGGUAUCUUGACAGUGGAGCUACACACCAUAUUACUAAUAACAUGGCAAAUAUGCAUGUGAGAGAAGAAUUCAAAGACUCAGACCAGCUAACCAUUGGCAAUGGACAAGGUUUGAUCAUUACUCACAUUGGUGAUGCAUGCUUUAAUCAUAAAAGUUUCAAAUCUGCCUUCAAACACACACCUAUAACACUCAAGGAUAUCUUGUUAGUUCCUUCAAUUACUAAGAAUUUAAUAAGCAUAUCCAAAUUGACAACUGGUAAUAAUCUUUCCAUUGAAUUUGUUGGCAAUGUGUGUUAUGUAAAGGAUUCACUGAAGGGACAAGUACUUCUGCAAGGUCUUGCUGAGAAAGGAUUGUAUAAGUUGCUGUUAAAAUCAUCACAGUCUCCCACUUCCUUCGUGUGUCAAGUUUCUUUAAAUCAGCCUCUGUCUAUUUUAUCAACAUGUCAUGUUUCUUUUUCUGUUGCAAAUAAUGUUCAGAAUAAACACUCAAGUUCUAAAGCUUGUUUUCAAACUGAUGUUUUCUCUUGUAAUUCAUUGGUCAAUAAAGUUGAUCUUCUUCAUAGAAGAUUUAGUCAUCCUUAUCAUAAUGUCUUCAUACAUUUGCUUAAGAAUGAUCAAACUAUUAAUCUUUCAACUUCUCUUAUUAACCAAGCUGCACAAUAAAUAUGUGAGGCCUGUCAUAUAGGAAAAAGUCACAUAUUGCACUUCCCUGUCACAGAAACCAAAACUUCUCAAGUGCUUGAACUAAUUCACACUGAUUUAUGGGGCCCUUCACUUAUCAUUUCUAAAGCUGGUUAUGUCUAUUAUAUCAACUUUGUUGAUGACUUUAGUAGAUACACCUGGAUUUAUCCAUUAAAAUUAAAAUCAGAAGCCCUAUAAGUUUUCAAAUUGUUCAAAUUGCAAGCUGAAAAACAAUUUUAAUGUCCUAUUAAAAUGCUGUAAUCAGAUUGGGGGGGAGAGUAUAGAGCAUUUACUGAUUUUUUGAACCAAAAUGGAAUCAUAUUCAGACACUCAUGUCCCUACACACAUCACCAAAAUGGGAUAGUUGAGAGAAAACACAGGCAUAUUGUUGAGUUAGGACUCACACUUCUAGCUCAAGCUAAAUUACCCUUAACCUUUUGGUGGGAAGCUUUCCAAACAGCAGUUUACCAUAUUAACAAGUUGCCUUCUGCAACUCUGAAGUUCCUUACUCCAUAUGAAAAGUUGUUUAAACAUAAACCAGACUACAAAAUGCUUAGAUGUUUUGGUUGUGCAUGUUAUCCAUAUUUAAGAGAUUAUAACAAGCAUAAGUUUGAUUAUCAUUCUAGCAAGUGUGUCUUCAUUGGUUACAGCCCUUCUCAUAAAGGAUACAAGUGUUUACAUCCAUCUGGUCAGGUUUAUAUAGCAAGACAUGUUAUCUUUGAUGAGUCCUCUUUUCCUUAUUCCUCAUAUUCUGCUUUUGCUUCUAAUAAAUCAAACUCAUCUUAAAACUUGUCUUUCACUCCUCAGCAAGUGUAUCAUCUAUCCACUUUGCCAUUAUUCUCAACUUCAGAUGAUACAGCACUCAUGAUUCUAUCUCUGCAAGUUCCACCAGCAGCAGUUCUCAUCAUUCAGUUCCUCAUAAUCAUAACAACAAUUCUCAUCCAUUGUCACAAACAAACACAUCACCAAUCACUAAUACAGAGCCUAAUACAGAGCUUCAUACUUCUUUACCAAUUCAGCCAAUCACCACCAACAGACCUCUCAUUUCUCAAACAUCACUAGAAACUGAUCAAAACACAUCAGCUCCAGAAAAUACAACAAUUCAACACUUCUUUAAACACACGUCCUAUGACAACUAGGAGUAAGAUUGGCAUUUUCAAACCUAAGCUCUACAAUGUAGCUCUUGUUCAUAAAGAGCCAGAAUCUAUAGAAGAAGCUAUGCAAAAUCCUAAAUGGUUUGCAGCUAUGGAGGAAGAAUAUAGUGCUCUACUUAAGAACAAUACAUGGUCUUUAGUUCCAAGAUCAGAUGGUCAGAAGAUUGUUGGAAACAAGUGGGUAUAUCGAGUUAAGCAUAACUCAGAUGGAAGUCUGGCCAAGUAUAAGGCUAGAUUAGUUACUAAGGGAUUUCAACAAAUUGCAGGGGUAAAUUACUUUGAAACUUUCAGUCUAGUGGUAAAAUCAGCUACUGUUAGAGUAGUGAUUAGUUUGGCUGUUAUGAAUCAGUGGCAAAUCAGACAAGUAGAUGUUAAUAAUGCUUUUCUUAAUGGGGAGUUAACAGAAGAAGUUUUUAUGGAUCAACCAGCAGGGUUUGUUGACAGUCAAAAGCCAAACUUUGUGUGUAAACUCCAUAAGUCACUUUAUGGUCUCAAGCAAGCUCCACGAGCUUGGUAUGAAAAGUUAAAAGGGUGUUUGUUACAGUGGGACUUUAAAAACGCAAGGGCUGACACAUCUCUGUUAAUUAAGAAAACUAGCUCUUACAUGAUAUUGGUAUUGAUUUAUGUUGAUGAUAUCUUAAUCACAGGACCAAAUAGUGCAGAACUAGAAUCUUUUAUUGCCAAGUUUAAUGUAGUUUUUGCACUCAAGGAUUUGGGUACUCUCUCUUAUUUUCUGGGCAUAGAAGUCUUAUAUGGUGCAGAUUGCAUUUAUCUGUCUCAAAGGAAAUACAUAAGAGAUCUACUGACUAAGGUUCAGUUGCUUGAAUGUAAAUAUAUCGACACACCUAUGAGUAUUGGAAUUAAGCUGCAAAAAGAAGCUCAAGGACAUCUAGGCCAAUACAUUACUGAUGCUACACACUACAAGAAUAUUGUAGGAGGUAUGCAGUAUCUAGUUUUAACAAGGCCAGAGAUUGCCUUUGUUGUAAGCAAAUUAAGCCAGUAUGUUUCAAGUCCUACAAUGCAACAUCUUAUAGCUUGUAAGAGAGUGCUUAGAUACUUAAAGUCUACUCAAGAUUAUGAACUUAAGUUUGCUCAUAAUGGAGAAAUGAAGAUUACUGGAUUCAUUGAUGCAGACUGGGCUUGUGAUUUAGAUGAUCGAAAAUCUAUUGGAGCUUAUUGCAUCUACUUAGGUAAUAAUUUGAUUUCAUGGUCAUCCAAGAAGCAGUCAGUCAUUGCUAGAUCUAGUGCUGAGAGUGAGUAUAGGGCCUUAACUUCAGCUAGUGCAGAGAUAAGCCGGUUACAAUCUUUGUUUUCUGAAAUUGGUUUGUGUUGUUAAGAGAUACCCACUAUCUGGUGUGACAACACCAGUGCCACUGAGCUAGCUCAUAAUCCUGUUUGCCAUUCUAGAACUAAACACAUCGAGCUUGACUUACGCUUUAUCAGAAACAAAGUGAUUGCAGGGGAGUUAAAAAUUCAGUAUAUUCCCAGUGAAGAACAGAUUGCUAAUAUCAUGACAAAACCCCUCUCUUUUGUUCAUUUUAACUAUCUGAGGUCAAAGCUCAAUGUGCAGCCUUGCCCCUUGAGUUUGAAGGGGGCUGUUAAGGAAGUCCAGUAUACUGAGCUCACAGAGUGUAGGAGUAAGAAGGAGAAGAAGCUUUAGUCUCAGUCAGUCAGACGUUUCAGCAAUGCCAGCUCAUCAGAGUUAGUUAAGCAAGUUGCCAGAUCAACACAAGUUUGUUAAGAUUGUUAUUAGUCAUUUCAUAUGUGUGUAUAACGAAAUGUAAUUAGCUUACGUUGCAGUCUUGUGCAUGUAUAUAAGUUGAGUUGAUUCUGUUGUUAAUGUUUAAGAAAAAUCAAUAAGAAAUAAAGUGAUCUUUUCUCUGAAAAAUAUUCUGCUGUACUGCCAAGGCGGAUGUACGGUACAGCAGCUUCUAAUAAAUCAAACUCAUCUUAAAACUUGUCUUUCACUCCUCAGCAAGUGUAUCAUCUAUCCACUUUGCCAUUAUUCUCAACUUCAGAUGAUACAGCACUCAUGAUUCUAUCUCUGCAAGUUCCACCAGCAGCAGUUCUCAUCAUUCAGUUCCUCAUAAUCAUAACAACAAUUCUCAUCCAUUGUCACAAACAAACACAUCACCAAUCACUAAUACAGAGCCUAAUACAGAGCUUCAUACUUCUUUACCAAUUCAGCCAAUCACCACCAACAGACCUCUCAUUUCUCAAACAUCACUAGAAACUGUCAACAUGACUCCUGCCCACACCCGCCCCCAUCUUCUUCUUCAUUCUUGAUAAUCGUGGUAAUUAAUUAUUUCUCCAGUUCUAUAACAAAAAAUGGCAUACUAUUUUUACUUGUCCUAAUGGCCUUUUUUUUUUUCCCCCCGAGUAUGUUUAAGUUUUUUUUUUUUUUACUGCAGUCAAUUGUGCCAAUGAUACUCAGGUCACUAGUGAGGUUAGUGACGGCACUAGUGUCUCAGCCAUCAGCCACCGUCACAACUCUAUUUUACUACAGCAAUCUUCUCCCUCGAAACUUAAACUUAGAGUGGCUUGUUCAUCGAGAAUUUCUCGAUCGGGAAAACUAAUUGUUCCAUUUUCUCAUCAAUGUCUUGACAUGUUUCUGGUAGCUAUAUAUUAUUAUUAGCUACUUGUUGAGCAAGAUCUUUUCUGUACUUGCUCUCCUUGCUUAUUUAUUAUUUAGGGUUGGGCUAAUUAAAAGCUCUCGUCUUUUACACAAUACCUCUUCUCUCACUAUUUUUAGACCAUUGAUUAAUACGGUUUAUAUUGUAUAUUAAUUAUGCAUUAAUUACAUAUUUAACCAAAAUAAACAAGAGAGAGUAUGCCCGCAUGCGCGCGUGUGUGUGUUAUUUCCAAAUAUCAAAAGUGUAUUAAUAGAGGAUAAAUCUAGAAAUUGGGUAAAAAUUAAAAGAGUGUAAUAGAGAGUUUAGCUUACCUUAUACAUUUUAUUUCGGAUUUUGCCUCGGGGAAUCACAUUCCACAUGUAAAUGCGCCCAAUAUAUUAUUGAUGAAUCAGAGGGCUUUUGCUAGUCGAAGAGAUUUGGAAAUUUAAGUAGUCAUACAUCUCUUGUAACACACUAAGCUGUUCGUUUUGGGAGUAAUAUGUCUGUCUCUGAAAAACUAGUCUGCAAUGUCAACAGCAUGAGGCAUUAAUACAUGAUCAAAAGGUGGCUAUUUCUCUCUUUGCUGUCCAUUUUUUUUAGAUCAAUUGUGUGAAUGGACCAGUAAUGGGUGAUUUCAGGUUCAAACCAACUAUUACUAAUGAUUUUUAUGAGUGUUUGAUGCAUAAAUUCAACAAAUUUAGCCAGAACUCAUAAAUUUAACGCUAGUGAUAAGUCUGUUUUACUUAUUUAUAUAUUUUUCCAUUCCAAAUUCCAAUCCGAGCCCGAGCUACGACUCGUUCUCCGAUAUUAUUUUCUGCGUUCAAUAGUUGAUUAGAGGGCAGUGCAAGAAAUAAAUUCUUUAUAAUAUCAACACAAGGGUGCUUAUAGUGUGUACGUUUGCAUUUAAACAAAUUUUCUGCAGCUUUGUAUACAAAGUCAGCGCAUUCAAGAUAGUGACUUUGUCUUUUAAAUUCAAAAAAGAAAAACAAUGAGAGUUAGUCAUCUUGAUUUAGUCGGUACAUUAUCAUGGCUAAAAUGUUUGUUAAUUAAUUAAUUAAGAAGAAAAAAUUUCCGUAUCUAUGUUGAUUUGAAAUUUUUGGCAAUUGACGUUGUCCGUGUCAAGUGGAAACUCAAUUGGCUAUGUGCCCGGCCGUCAGUGAACAUGUUUUCAAACUCCUCAAUUUAUUUCACUAACCCCCAUUUUCCACUGAAUCGCAUUUACUUUCAAAGUUACCCUUGUUGACCAUUUUCUUCUUCCAAAUUUACAUUCAAAUUCUAGGGAAUAAAACAACGGAAAUUCAAGAAUUAAUUCUUCAUCCAAAAUCCUUGUCUCCCACUUGAUCUCUUGAGCAAUACUUUUUCCUUUAUGGAUGAUUUAUACAAACUCUUGUCUUCAAGUACAACUUCCUAGUUUUCGUCCAUGGAUGGCUGAUGAUUGAGUCAGAAGCUCAGACUUUUAUUGUGUGAUUCUCUAGAGUCACAAAGUCAUGGGUUAAAUUGAUUUGCUAAUAACAUCUCCAUUUACGGCGGUAACUAUUUAUUAGCUUAGGGAUGCUAUGGCCAUAGCUUUAAUAGCGUUGCUUUAUAUACAGAUCCCAUAAAUUUUGUCCAAAAAAGUUGAUUUGGAAAUUAGCUCAUGAUUUAUGAACAUAAAGACAUGAUGCAGUUGACUAAAAGGAUGGUUUGAAAAUGGAGUUACUUUUGAUGAGCAUAAACGUUUCUCGCUCAUAAAAACAUGAUGCUUCAGAAGUGAAAAAAAAUAAUGAUUGAAAAAAUAAAAAUAAAAAUUAUAAGGGUGAAACUGGGAAUAAACAGGGUUAAUUAAAAAGUGGGGUUUUGGGAGAUAAAAAUAUGAGGGUUAUAAAUAGCACUACCCAAGCAAAAGGACAAAAGCAAACACUGUAAGGACCGAAAAAACCUUAAUGGCCCAAUGUAGCGACAUGAAUUUUCAAUAUCCGGUGUAGAUUACUAGAAGAGGAGUUGUCGGUGCGCCCAAUGUUGCAAGUACUUUUAAGCCCAGAAAAAACACUCGGUUUUCUCAGCCCAGCCCUAUGCAACCCGCACAAAAAAGAAGAGUAGGUCUCAAGAAAUAUUAGCUUCGUGAUCACGUAAAUUAAUUUCACUCUUUUUCAGUAGUCUCAACGUAUCAACAGUACCAACCAACCGGCGAACAGGAAAUCAAUUAAGCUCUGAUGCUCUCUCACUGUCUCUCUUCUCUUUGAUGUCAAGAUUCAGUUUACCUUCAACAUGACUCCUCUCCGCACCCGCCCCCAUCUUCUUCUUCAAUCUUGAUGAUCGUGGUAAUUAAUUAUUUCCCCAGUUUUAUAUAAAAGAAUGGCGUACAAUUUUUACAUGUCCUAACUCCUAAUGGUCAAUUUUUUUAUCAAAUAUGUGAAAGAUUUUUCAUUUUUAUAAUUUUUUUUAACUGCAGUGAAUUGUGACAAUGAUGCUGAUCAGGUCACUCAUGAGGUUAGUGACGUCACUAAUGUCUCAGCCAGCAGCCACCUUCGCAACUCUAUUAUACUACAGCAAUCUUCUACCUCGAAACCUAAACUUAGAGCGGCUUGUUCAUCGAGAAUUUCUUGACCGGGAAAACUAUUUGUUCCAUUUUCUCAUCAAUGUCUUGACGUGUUUCUGGUAGCUAUGUAUUAUUAGCUACUUGCUCAGCAAGACAAUUUCUCUACUUGCUCUCCUUGUUUAUUAUUUAGGGUUGGGCUAACUAAAAGCUCUCGUGUGUCGCACAAUACCUCUUCUCUUACUAUUUUUAUACCGUUGAUUAAUACGAUUUAUAUCGUAUAUUAAUUAUGCAUUAGUUAUAUGUAUACAUAUAUGCGUAUAUGUUAUAAUAUACAUAUAUCAAAAGUGUAUGAGUGGAAGAUAAUACUAGAAAUUGGGUAAAAAUUAAAAGAAAAAUAAUAUUAAAGAUCUCAAUAUUUGACUUCCAAAGAGAGUAAUAGAGUGCAAUUAAGUAGACAUAUAUCUCUUAUAACACAGAAGAUGAAUGGUUUUAAAUUAUGCGUAAUUAACGAACUUGGUAGUCCAUUAUGAGGUUGAAUUGCUGAUAAGAACAAGGAGAGAAAUCGAAUGUUGAAUCAUGAAAAGCAAUUUAGUAGUUAUGAGAAUGAUAAUUAUUUUUAUAAUGUUAUUUUGAAAAAUUAUUAGAAAUUGUGUGGUUAUCAUUCUUAAAUUGAUCUAGAAUGCAUGAAUAGAGCUAUGAAUUGAUACAAUUUGAUGCAGGGCCGAUAUUAAAUAGGGGCUUUUUAUAAUUUAGUUUUAACAUCAAAUUAUAACUAACAACAUUGAUAAGUUUCCAGUCUUGUUGAAUGGAGGAUGAUUAUUUAGAAGUAACCUGUUUUGGGCCGAGAAAUCUAAGUUGCUCCAUCAAGACUUUGAUCUAAGAAAUUUUGGUAUAAUUUUUAUUAUAAACGUCAAUAGACUACUAUAAUAAAAUUUGAAAAAAUUAUAUUAUGCAUUGUCAAAUGGUUAUAUUUUAUUGACUUUUAUUGAUUUUUUGACCAUAUGACAAUGUGCAGAAUGUGAGAUACGAUACCUUAAAGUACUUUGAUUUUGAACUAUUUAAUUUAAUACAAUACAUCCCUUAUUUUAUAUGACAUGAUAUGGGUUGUUGAAAGCAUGUAUAAUUUAUUUACCAUCUUAUUAAUGGGUGCUUUCCCAUUAAUCGUGAAGAGUUCAUUUCGUUAAUUUGGGUGCAAUGACAAAUGUUAGGGGUUUGAUUCCGUUGUGAUGGGCUCCGAAGAGGAUGACAUGUACAUUGGUAUCCGCUUUCUUUGGUUUGGUUGGUUGUUCAUAAAAUCCCUACUUUAUGCAAGCUUUUGCUUUAAUUUGCUUUCAGUUAUGAGCACGACAGAUAAUAUGAUCCCCUCGAUAACAAUAAAUAAAGGAAUGAGAGUAAUGGGCUUUCCCGGAUUGUUUCAUUAAUUGUUCAUGCACAAUUUCAAGGGUUGAGUGCAGCAAGAAAUUGAGAGCGACAAGCCACUUGAAGGCUUGGUUAGCUGUCUUACUUUUAACAUUAAAAUUAGCAUUUGAUCAUUUAUUUUCAUUCUUUUAACUAUAAAAAAUAUCAAAGCUGCCACAAAGCCAUGCAAAUUAUUCAUAAUUAUAUUAGUAGUUGAUUUAAUAAAGGGCAGUGCUACGUUACAAUUAACGUAACGUACGCCCACACACAGUAAUAAUGGUAGGUUCCACCGAUGGAUACUAUUGAUGUGUGUGGACAUACGUUAUGUUAAUCGUAACGUAGGGGGCUCCUUUAAUAAAUUAGUUGUUAUAACUAGUUAAAAUUCAAACAGUACGUCUAUUCACUUCUCUUUCAAUUUUAUAUUGUUUCAAUCUAAACUUUGAAAAGUGCAAACAUUAAUCCGUAUACAUGUUUUAACAUAAUAUCCUAGGCCACCUACAAAGCUUCUACAUGAUAUUUUGACUAAACCAAAAAAAGAAAAAAAAGUCUUUUGGCUGCCCUAAAUAAAAUCUUUGUUCUCCGAGAAAAUGGUUUUGGAUAUUGAAUUAUUGAUGAAUCUGUCAGCUACAUCAAAAGCAAUUAUUGUUGUGGAAUGCUUAAGGUUGACUUGCCAUAUGGCAGGGUCACUAGCUAUAGUUAUUAUUCAUGCAUCCCCCGUUUAUACGAGAUAUUCAACAACUUCAUUUUCAAGCAAACUCCAAAACUUUAUAAUUAACAGAAAUGGCAACGCCCAACCCCACAAAGGCUGACCAUAUCCAACUAAUCUUUUGCCAAUUUUUAGCCUUUUAAUUUGUUCCUUCUUUGCCAACUCAUUGCCAGCUGCUCUUGAAUUUAAUUCCUUUUUAAAUAAAGGAAUGAGAGUAAUGGGCUUUCCCGGAUUGUUUCAUUAAUUGUUCAUGCACAAUUUCAAGGGUUGAGUGCAGCAAGAAAUUGAGAGCGACAAGCCACUUGAAGGCUUGGUUAGCUGUCUUACUUUUAACAUUAAAAUUAGCAUUUGAUCAUUUAUUUUCAUUCUUUUAACUAUAAAAAAUAUCAAAGCUGCCACAAAGCCAUGCAAAUUAUUCAUAAUUAUAUUAGUAGUUGAUUUAAUAAAGGGCAGUGCUACGUUACAAUUAACGUAACGUACGCCCACACACAGUAAUAAUGAUAGGUUCCACCGAUGGAUACUAUUGAUGUGUGUGGACAUACGUUAUGUUAAUCGUAAUGUAGGGGGCUCCUUUAAUAAAUUAGUUGUUAUAACUAGUUAAAAUUCAAACAGUACGUCUAUUCACUUCUCUUUCAAUUUUAUAUUGUUUCAAUCUAAACUUUGAAAAGUGCAAACAUUAAUCCGUAUACAUGUUUUAACAUAAUAUCCUAGGCCACCUACAAAGCUUCUACAUGAUAUUUUGACUAAACCAAAAAAAGAAAAAAAAGUCUUUUGGCUGCCCUAAAUAAAAUCUUUGUUCUCCGAGAAAAUGGUUUUGGAUAUUGAAUUAUUGAUGAAUCUGUCAGCUACAUCAAAAGCAAUUAUUGUUGUGGAAUGCUUAAGGUUGACUUGCCAUAUGGCAGGGUCACUAGGUAUAGUUAUUAUUCAUGCAUCCCCCAUUUAUACAAGAUAUUUAACAACUUCAUUUUCAAGCAAACUCCAAAACUUUAUAAUUAACAGAAAUGGCAACGCCCAACCCCACAAGGCUGACCAUAUCCAACUAAUCUUUUGCCAAUUUUUAGCCUUUUAAUUUGUUCCUUCUUUGCCAACUCAUUGCCAGCUGCUCUUGAAUUUAAUUCCUUUUUAUAUUCCACUUGUGUUUUGAUCGAUCAUGUGAUCAUACCAGAAAUGAAGGUGUCCAAAUACUGUUGCUUUUAACCCCCUGUCUCCGCAAAAUCUAUUGAAUUCAACGAGUUAAGGGUAAUAAUAAUUUGCAAUUUGCUACGAUUCGCUCCCAGUUUGAGCCUAAAAUUUAUAUAUAUAUAAAAAAAAGACAUAAAUAAAGGGAAAAAUGAGCUAAUAUAAAUGCUUGAUCUAGAUUAAACGUCGGAAUUUCGUCUUAAUAAUUAUCAAUAUUUGAUGAGAAGGUUUCAACUUUUUUUUUUUGAACUUUUUUUUUCAUCACAAGCCUCAUUGUGUUUAUCUCAAUGCUCAAACUCAAACACAUUGAAGAUUCUGUCUCUUGGGGACAUAACUGCACACGUGACUUUCUCCUCAUCAGAACUUGAGAGAGUGCAAAGUCUUCUUUAAUUUCUCAAUCUACUCUAAUUUUUUAAUGAACAACACUUGACUUUCUUCUCAUUACAACAUAAGAGAGUACAAAUUUUUCUUCAAUUUCUUAAUCUAUUCUAAUUUUUUUAAUGAAGAAUGAUAAUUUUAGCGAACAUGCCACAUUGCAAGUCAUGCUUGAUGGUACAACAAUGGGUCCCAUGAGCCCACCAACUAUCAAAGGGCUAUUAAUUAACUAUUUAUAUAUUAAGAAACCGGCUAAGAUACAUGUUAACAAGUCAACACUGUGGCCAUAUGGGAGACUUCUUGCCACCAAUAGGAACCGUAUCUCAACCACUUCUACAGUUGCAAGAAGUUAUAUAUUGAUCAAAUUCCAUGUUCGAAUGUGCCUAGUUAAAUUGAUUCUUUAUGAUUAAUUUUUUUCUUUCUUUUUAAGUUUAUAACCCGUAUUUUAUAUGUAGAAUCUUGGGAAAUUAAAAUGAAAAUCCUCUGAUGACCAUCUAACAAAAUAAGAGAGUAGUUGUGCAAGGAUUUUGCUUAAUUAAUACUUAGCCUAAGUUAUAAUGGAGAAAAGAGUGAAGCCCCUCUUAUUUGAUAAAAUUAAUCAAAAUCUUCUCUGAUGUAAUUCGAGAACACAUCCAAAUCUUCAGAUUGUCAAUUUUUUUUUUUUCUGAUCUUAUCAUUUUGUGCCUGGUGGUUUUUUGAUUUUGGAAUAUGAAUACCUUUAAUUAUUUAAUUAAUUUUAAAAAUUAAAGAAAAUUACAGGAAAAAGUAAGAGAUUGUCAUUUUUUUAAUUAAUUCUGAAAACUUGUUCAUAAUUAAUUGAAAUAUUAAAUGCAAAAUUAAUUUUUAUAUAUAUGUGUGUGUGUGUGUAUCCGCGCGUGUGACAAUUUCCUUACUUUUUUUUUUUAAAUUUCAUUUUCCCAUUAAUUAAUUAAUUAAAAGUAUUCAUAUUUUUUAUAUCAAACAACCACCAAAGUAAAAUGGUAAGAUUAACAAAAAAAACCAGAUACCGAAGAGUUUGGAUGUGUUUUAAAAUAUGUGUUUUUUUUUUUUUCCAUAUUAUAGUAUUGGCGCUAGAAGCAUCGCAUUACCGUACCAAAUUCUUUGUUACAUCAAUUAAAACUUAAACAUAAGGCUAAUCAAUAAAUUUUUUUGAAAAAAAAAAAAACCCUUCUUCAUGGUUUUUAAUGAAGAAAAGUCCUGGAAGUUUUGUUGGAAGACAGUGUACAACCAAAUGCAUAAAAUGAUUAGAAAACAUGUAAAUGAAUCAAACUUUUUCAAAGCCUAAUAUAUAUGCAAAAAUUAAGGGAUCUAUUUUGCAAAUGAUUGGCUGCUUUCUUUAUAAAGUUAAACAAAUUAGCCUUAUUGGAGGCUGAAAGUAAUCAAUUAUAGUUAUACUGGAAAGGUUCAACACUUUUUCAAAACUUGAAACUACAACUGGCAUCGCAUUUUCUUUGUUUUAAAAAAAAAAAAAGAAGUAGAAUCAAAUGCUUGGCAAGAACGUAACACAUCAUGGAGCCUUACCAUAUGUUCCUCACAGCUGUGUCCUAUUCAGCCAGCUUUUGUGACAAGUCAUGGGGCUGCUGCUUCUUGCGCUUCACUUGCUUUCUCAAAUUACAAGCAACGUAUGGAUAUGCAUGUAACUAGAAAGUGGUGUCCCCUUUAUUUUAUUAUAUUCCUGCCUGAAACGAACGCAAAUCGAUCCUGAGAAAUUUUUAUCACGAUCUUUAUUCUUUUAUUGUGGGAUAUGCUUUAUAUUGGUAAAAGCAAGCAAGCUUUGCCAUGCAAUUUCUCGAAACGGGGAUCUUUCAUACAUAUAAAAAUACUUUGAUUUAAAAUAUGGGAUUGAGAUUUGAGUGAUUGAAGUCUUUUGGGUUUAAUGUGUUAAGAAAGGGGGGAAAAAAAGAAAAAAAACAAACACACACAGAGAAUUGGAACAUUACCCUUAACUGUAUAUUCAAAAAAAUUAAGAAAGAAUGAAAAGGGUAGUUAGCUGUACAGUCUAUAAUCUUUGUCCUUUGACCUAUCGUCGGGAAAUUAUUGUCAUUUUUGGUGAAAGUUUCAUGCAGGCUCUGCCUUUAAACUUGGCCAGCUACGAACGGGUUGCCUAUCAUUUUUGGCUGUCCUUAUCACUAAAUUUUAGGGAGUUUUACCCUCGUAAACACAAAUUGUUUGAGGGAUAUGCUCCGACGAAGACCAGCAGUGAUGAGCAGACAUCUGGUAGCAGGGUUCCGUGAACAGGUGUAUCUUGUAAGACUCCGGUGGCCGGGGGAGCAGGAGCAGGAAUAUCCUGCUCGUCCGCGAGUACGUCAUCUACGAGGCCAACCUCCUGAUGGAAGCAUAAAGCCAUCCUUGCUAAGGUUUGAGUCGAGGAGACCCAGUCAACGAUAGUUGGCGAGACGUGCUCUCCAACCCGAGAAUCAAGGCACGAAGGCCACGCAGCCACCCACGAUUGCAGAAAUGGAGCAUCCACUUUCGAGAUGUGAGAGGAUAACGGGCGUGUAUGGAGGGAAGGUCUGGAUGCAGGAGAGGCCUAUAAAAAGGCAGCCAACGAAGGUAAAAUGGUUAGAAUUUUUUAGAUUAGAACUGAGAAAAAAGAGAGAGCUCUAGAGAAUUGAUACGCCAUAAUAUUUGUGGCUAGCAUUCCCAGGAACACAAAAACCUUCAUUUCUGACUUGAGCGUCGGAGGGUUCACGCCGGGAAAACAACCGGCGUGCUCUGACCUGUUUCGGUGUACGCAGGAACUUCUAGAGAAGAAGCCUUACGAGGAGAGAUCCUGAUCGUGGUAGAGUUGAUCGAGCAGAGAGCCUGGUCGUGUAAGGAGGAUAACCAAAAUCUCGCAUCAACAUUUUGGCGCCGUCUGUGGGGAACUGAACAAAAAGCUUCUGUUGAUAGCAAGAAGAGGAGUAAAGCAAGCGGAAAAACAAUGGAGGCAGGAGGAAGUAGUGCACAAGGGGGGGAUAUGAGGCUUAACGAUUCCGUGACGCUGAGGGAGAUAGCCAGUGAAGCACGGGAAAAAGCCAUGUUUGACCGGAUGGAACGGAUGGAAAAGCAGAUGGAGACCCUGACAACCAUUCUACAUGAGCUACGGAGUGAACGAAGGGGAACCCAUGAAGAAAGGGUGAGGGGUGAUGGAAUAGCAGCAGGUCACGAUAGUACGAGGAGAAGUCAAACCACCAGGAGAUUUGGUGGUGAGAGAGGUAACCUAGCUCUGCGGGGAGAAAUUCAUAGAGAGGAAGAGCAAUCCCCAGCAAGACAGAUUUUUGAUGAGGACGAUGGGGUGGCGAAUGCGGAGGAAACAGAGCUCAGGCAACACCUACAUGAUGUAGAGCAAGAGCGGAAUCAUAUUGCAGCACGUGACUCUAGACGUGAAGUGCAGCUGGAGGAGGAAGUGCGCAGACUAGCGCAGGUAAUUGAUGACAUGCAAGGAAGGAGCAGAGCUCCUGGUUGGAGAAUAAUGCUGGACGGAGAAUCACUGCUCGCAGCAGAGAUCAUGAGGGCAGUCAUUCCAAGAGAUUUUCGCCUACCAAACCUUAGAUAUUCGGGACGAACUGAUCCGCUGGUGCACAUAGAGCGCUUCAACGACAUAACCGGGGUACAAGGACUAUCUCAAGCCCAAAGGUGCAGGGUGUUCCCACUAUCUUUAGAGGGACGUGCACGCGAGUGGUACAGGAAACUUCCUCGGGGGAGCAUUAAAACCUUCGAGUAGAUGUGUCAGGAAUUUACAGAGCAGUUCUAGGGGACAAUGGCACCAGAAGAUGACAUGAUGGAGUUGAAAAGCAUGAAGCAGGGGAGCAAGAAACCCUUCGAGAAUUCAUCAAGAGGUUUUAUCGUGCUGUCCUCGAUUUGUGAGCCUUCAACUAUCCUCAGGCAUUAAGAGGAUUGAAAAAAUGGGUGAAGAUAGGAAGGCUGUGGUACAACUUGAGAAGCCUAGUUAUCCAGACGUAUGCAGCCGCAUACGAGCAGGCUAAGAAGGACAUUGAGAUUGAAGAAGAAAAGGCAGCACGGAUUAAGACAGACCAGGUAGAAGGGUUGGGAAAGAAAGAGAAGAGAACAUUACCAGGGAAUGGGCCGAUCAGGAGGAGGGACCACCAGACCUCAGGUAGUGGUGCAGGAGGUCGGGUAACCGCUUACCAGCCUCAUCAAAGGCCACCACAGUAUCAGCGUAGCAAGGCGCAACCUUCUCGCUCACCAGCUAGGGAGCCUUGGAGAAGACAUGACUCGGCAUAUGGUGAUCUCCAUCCACACUCCCAUGGUAGUAGAGGGAGCUGACCAGAAGCACUGCCACCGCCUCUAACUCAGAACAGCGCAAAUAGAGAAAAGGCAGUGCAUAUGAUCGACCAGAACCAGGACUAUGGGCGGUAUACCUCCUUGAAGAUGUCCAUGGACGAGGUAUACGAGGCCAUAAAGAACCGGGGAUUGCUGUACCUCCCGGCCCCAAUAACAAAGCUACCAGGCAGGAGAGAUAGGGGACGCUAUUGCAAGUUCCAUGGUACCCAUGGCCAUACCACUGCAGAAUACAGAGAUCUCAAGACCUAGGUCGAAGAUUUGGUGAGAAAUCGGUACCUGGACGAGUUUAUAGAUGAGACUUACCCGAUAGUGGCCUCGACAUGUGAAGGGGAGCAGAGUGAUAGAAACUUGAGGCGCGAGCAGCAUGCAGUAAGGGUGAUAGCUGGGGGCCCAACAUUGGCCGGAGAUUCCAACAGAUCAAGGAAGAAUUAUGCUAGAUACGCCAUGACUAGUAAAGAGGUAUUCUUCAACACCCCAGCAGCCAAACGAGCAAAAGUCAGGCAAGUGCCAAUCAUGUGGACGGAUGAGGAUGAAGAAGGGAUUCUAUACCCUCAUGAGGAUGCUUUAGUCAUCAAGGCUACAGUUGCUAGCAAGAAGUUUGACCAGAUACUGGUUGAUACAGGGAGCUCAGUUGAUGUGUUAUAUAAGUCAACUCUGGAAGAGAUGGGAAUAGCAGACCGGAAGUUAGAGUACACCAAUACCUCCUUGAAGGGGUUUGCAGGAGGAAAGUUGGUCCCUCUGGGCGUGGUUGGGCUGCCUAUCACGAUUGGGAGCUCCCCGAUAGAAAGGACUAUAAUACUGGACUUUGUGGUGGUGGAUGAAGAAGGGGUAGUUGGAGUGGUACGAGGAAACCAGAGAAUCGCACGAAGCUGUUACUCCUCGGCAGCAAAGGAAGCAAUGCAGAUAACAUCCCUUGAUACCCGAAUGGAAAACAAGAAUCACAGACAAUAACCUGUAGAGGAGCUAGAGACAGUAAGCCUAGGACCAGAGAAUCUGGGAAAAACGAUCAGAAUCGGGUCGAGACUUAAGGAAGAGCAGAAGCAGGAGUUGGUGCAAUGCUUACAGGCUCAUGCAGAUGUGUUUGCUUGGACACAUGAAGACAUGCCAGGGAUUGAUCCUGAGGCAGCAUGUCAUAAGCUGGCAAUAAAGAAAGGUGCUCGGGCAGUAAGGCAGAAAAGGCGGUGCUUCAACCAGGAGAUGUAUGAGGCCAUAAAUGGCGAGGUGGGGAAGCUCUUGAGAGCAUGGUUCAUUCGGGAAGUCAAUUAUCCUGAGUGGAUAUCGAAUGUAGUGUUGGUAAAGAAGGCAAAUGGCAAGUGGAGGAUGUGUGUAGAUUUCACAGAUCUCAAUAAGGCGUGCCCGAAAGACAGCUUUCCUUUACCAAAAAUCGAUCAGCUAGUAGAUUCAACAGCUGGACACGGCCUGCUUAGCUUCAUGGACGCGUUUUCGGGAUACAACCAAAUUCCCAUGUACGAGCAGGAUGAGGAGAGCACGGCUUUUAUUACUAACUAGGGUUUGUUCUAUUAUAGGGUAAUGUCAUUUGGUCUUAAAAAUGCUGGGGCCACGUACCAGAGAUUGGUGAAUAAAGUCUUUAAGCCAUUGAUUGGGAGAAUCAUGGAGGUGUACGUGGACGACAUGAUAACCAAGUCGAAAAUCCCCAAGGAACAUGUCGGUCACCUCGAGGAGACAUUCGGACUUUUGAGGAAGUAUAAGAUGAAACUCAACCCGAAAAAUUGUGCUUUUGGGGUCGAGUCAGGGAAAUUCCUUGGAUUCAUGGUGAGCCAUAGGGGGAUCGAAGCAAAUCCUGAGAAGAUCCAGGCGAUCGUGUAGAUGAGGUUUCCUUGUAGCCUAAAUGAGAUGUAGAGCCUCACGGGGAGGUUGGCGGCAUUGAGCCGAUUCAUAUCUAAGGUUACAGAUAAGUGUCAGCCAUUAUUUCGAGUGAUAAAGAGAGGAAAGAAAACAGAAUGGACUCCAGAAUGCGAAGAAGCCUUCCAGAACUUGAAGCAGUACUUGCAGCAAGCACUUCUGUUGUCCACACCGACGGAUGGGGACAAGUUAUUUUUGUAUUUCGCGGUAUCAGAUCAGGCCACAAGUUCUGUUCUGGUGAGAGAGGAAGAAGGGGUUCAGUAUCUGAUAUACUACACCAGCAAGGCCCUGCUCGACGCUGAGACCAGAUACUCGCCGUUGGAGAAAUGGGAACUUGCCCUUGUGGUUGCUGCUCGGAAGCUAAGGCCAUACUUUCAAGAAUUCCCAGUCUCGGUGAUAACAAACCAGCCAUUGCGUCAAACUCUGCACAAGCCAGAUGCUUCUGGUCGGCUCGUCAAAUGGGCUAUAGAGCUGAGCGAGUUAGACAUAGACUACAAACCUCGAGCAGCGAUAAAGGCUCAGGUAAUGGCCGAUUUCGUAGCAAAAUUCGCAGAGCCCGAAGUAUGUUUUGACCAGCGAGAUAUAGCUACAGACAGUGGCGAAGCUCAAGUAUGGCAAAUGUCUGUAGAUGGGUCAUCGGGGGAGCAGAGAUUGUCUUGGAAGGCCCGGAGGGGGAGGAGAUCUCUUAUGCUGGAAAGUUAGAAUUCACAGCCACAAAUAACCAGGCCGAAUACAAAACCUUGAUAGUAGGUUUGGAGUUGGCUAAGGCAGUGAAAGCGGAUAGGGUGAAGAUCAGAACUGAUUCCCAGCUGGUCGCAAAUCAUGUCAGUGAGAGAUUUCAACCGAGAGAUGGGAAGAUGGAGCUGUACCUGAAUAAAGUCAGGCAGAUGAUAGGGAAGUUCGAAGCGGUUGAGGUGGUAUAAAUCCUAAGGGAUCAUAAUAGUCGAGCAGAUAUUCUGGCCAGGAUGGCAGCUGUAGCAGACCAAAAAAUGACCAAGUUGAUCCCUUUGGAAGUAAAAACCAACCUUAGCAUCGAGUAGAAUUUGGAGGUGAUGCAGAUAGAACAAAAAGGCUCGUGGAUGGAUCCAAUAGUUUCAUACCUUAGAGACGGGGUAUUACCACCAGAUAAGCUACGAGCUCAGAAGGUCAGAGCCCAGGCUUCGAGGUACACGAUGAUUGAUGGGGUGCUAUAUCGGCGAGGGUAUACGCUACCGUUCCUUCGGUGUUUAGAUGAGGAUGACGCGGACUACGUACUGAGAGAAGUACAUGAAGGGAUUUGCGGAAACCAUUCUGGUGGGAGGUCCCUGGCCCACAAGGUUCUAAGGUAGAGAUAUUUCUGGCCCACAAUGCACCAGGAUGCGCAGGAGAAUACCAGGAGCUGUGUAAGCUGCCAGAGUUUUACAAGUUUCUCCAACCAACCACCAGAGAAGCUUACCUCUAUGGCCUCCCCCUGGCCAUUUGCUCAAUGGGGAAUUGAUCUGAUCGGCCUGUUGCCAAAGGGACGAGGAGCAGCAACGCAUGCAAUAGUUGCGAUAGACUACUUCACGAAGUGGAUAGAGGUAGAAGCCCUUAGCAGGAUCACAGACAAAAAAACAACAGACUUUGUGUGGAGAAACCUGGUCUGUCGAUACGGGAUCCUUUAUGCCUUGGUAACAGAUAAUGGCAGGCAGUUCGAUAAUUACAGCUUCAGGGAUUUCUGCCAGAACCUCGGGAUAGAGUUGAGGUAUUGCUCGCUUACUCACCCUCAAUCUAACGGACAAGUAGAAGCAGCCAACAAGACUAUCAAGAGGCUUUUGAAAACCAGGCUUGGAGCAAAAAAUGGUGUAUGGGUUGAUGAGCUGUCAGGUGUUCUAUGGGCAUACAGGACAACCCACAAAACAGCAACUGGGGAGACACCGUUCGCCUUGGCUUUUGGACAUGAAGCGGUCAUACCAGCCGAGAUAGGAACGACCACGCACCGGACAGAUCAUUUCAAUGAGCAGGAGAAUGACGAGCAAAUGUGUUUGAAUCUAGAUCUGCUAACGGAAAAAAAAGGGAGCAAGCAGCCGAGCGAUCAGCCAUAUACCAGCAGAGGGUUGCUUGGUAUUACAACCAGAAGGUGAAUGUACGGCAGUUCAAGGUCGGAGAUUGGGUGCUAAGGAGAGUGAAUCAGAACACGAAAGACUCGGCCUAGGGAGUACUCGGACCAAAUUGGGAGGGGCCAUAUAGGGUUAAGCAGCUAGUUGGACCCGGAGCUUACAAGCUGGUUCGCUCGGAUGGCCACGAGGUGAAACGCUCAUGGAACGCAGCACACCUCAGGAAAUAUUUCCAGUAAGAAUUGUUCAUGUUUUCAAGUUAUUUCUGUUCGUGUUCGUUAUUAUUUAUUUUAUGUCCAAGUAAUUUCAUGUAAGAUGAAUCCUGCAAUUAAUGAAACGUCGAGGAAUUUCAUUCACUUGAAACUGUGAAAAAUAUCUAAGGCAUGCAAAAGCUCACUAAGUCUCAAAGCCUGUUUAUGGCGAGACCAGAAGCCAAGUGUGCCAGGAUCUACUCGACCGCGCGAAGGUGAGCAGAAUCCCAAGCAUUGAAGAAUUCACUAAGGCAUGUAAAGGCUCACCAAGUCUCAAAGCUUGUUUAUGGCGAGACUAGAAGCCAAGCGUGCCAGGAUCUGCUCGACCGCGCGAAAGCGAGCAGAAUCCCAAGCAUUGAAGAAUUCACUAAGGCAUGCAAAGGCUCACCAAGUCUCAAAACCUGUUUAUGGCGAGACCAAAAGCCAAGUGUGCCAGGAUCUGCUCGACCACGCGAAGGUGAGCAGAAUCCCCAAGCAUCGAAAUAUUUUCUAAGGCAUGCAAAGGCUCACCAAGUCUCAAAGCCUGUCUAUAGCGAGACCGGAAGCCAAGCAUGCCAGGAUUUGCUCGACCAAGCAAAGGCGAGCAGAAUCCCAAGUCAUGUAGCAAGACCAUUUGCCAAGCCAGAGCCUGCUCGACCAAGCGAAGGCGAGCAGACUCUCAAACGAAAAAAUAACUUGUAAAUACAAACGCAAGAAAGUAAUCAAAAACAAUUUUAAUUAAUUUAUCAAUAACCAAUAAAGAUGUUCAUUACAACACAAGAAACAUGUUCAAGAAGACGGCGGAUCAGUAAGCCGAGCAGCAUCAGUUGGCUGGACCUCCUCAAGUGCAGGGGAGGUAUCACCAGUUGCGUCCGGGGGGGUGCUCGCCUCACCAACAUCAGCAGGGAUUGCACGAGGAGGAGAGUUUUCCUCCUCAACCACGAUUGGCUCCACCCCUUCGGCAUCUUCCUUUGCCGCCUCCUCGUCCAUGUGUUGAGCAACACCAGCUGCAAGGUCAUCCAUCUUCAGAUCAGGAUGCUGCUUCCCGAGGAUGACCAUAAUGCAACGAUAGGAAUGCUGAAGUCCCUGGUCGUACUGGUUUUCGGCUUCCUUCUCCAAGUUCUCGACCUGAGCUCGGUGGGAAUCGCGGAGAUAUUCGAGCUGAGCCUCGUACAUAACCUUCUGCCUUUGCAGAUCUUCCUUAACCUUAGUCAGCUCUUCCUCGAGAGUAAUGGCCUUUGCUUGAGCAAGAGAUUCUUGCUCUAUCAGUUUUAAAUUCUCGAGAUUCAAGUCUCCUGCUCUCUUCUCGAUAGCAUCGGCUCUGGUCGUCGCCGAUUGAAUGUUCUCUUUCAUCUUCCGGUCGUAACGGCCAACCUUGGCCUUAUAGUAAGUGGCCAUGCAGCUGAGAUGGAAGGCGCUAUAGUGCAUGGCCCCCACCAGGUCACCCAGGGUACAACCAUCAAAGUUCUCUAUGUCAUUUUUGCUCACGAGUUUAGAUAGCUCGUUGAGGUAGGGGACCAAGUGUUCUGCUCGGCUGUUAGAUAAACGAGAUCUAGGCCCGACAGGAGGAGAAGAGGAAGCAGAAUCAGUGGCUGCUCUACUAGUCUCUCCGGCUUUGGUAGGAGGAGGAGGUAGAGUCUGCAAGGGAGGAACCUGCUGCACAAUGUUCACCCGCUUCGCAGUGGGAGCGUUCUUGUCCUGGUCCAUCUUCGCAGUUUGAGGGCGAGGACGUUUCCGAAUCAGAGCCCCAAUCACAGUACCCUCCAUCUUAUAGCCGGGGGGCACCAAACAAGACUCGAGCAAGUUGUAAGUAGUUAUUAGCUCUCGGCUCGAGCAGGAGUUGGCCAGUAUAGCCUCGACCCGUUUGAGCUGGACAGGUUUGAGCGGGAAGUGAACACCCCAAGAACCUGUAAUACAAACAGACAUUUGGUUAGAAACAAACCAGUAAAGUGAGAACAACUAGGGAGACAAGACAUCUGAAACAAGCAGGCAACCUGGGACCACGAAACAAGGUGGGACGCGAAAAUCCUUCCCAUCAACCUGUGCAACUUGACCCCAGGGACCCCCAGUGAAAAAGAACUUCUUCUUUCAAUUCCCACCACCACCAGUAGGAAGAUUGGUUAUGAGUUUCCUUGUCUUAGUACUUGAUUGGAAGUAAUACCAGCCGGCAUCUUUGGGGCUGCUUUUCAGCUGGUACAGGUGCUUCACCUUGUCGACCGUGGGCUCGCUUUGACAACAUCGGUCCCACAAUAUGAACAGACCAGAGAGCACUCUCCACCCGUUGGGGUUCAGCUGACCAGGAGCUAGAUUUAGCCCAUUAAAUAUCCAGGCAAAAUAAGGUUGCAAGGGACACCUCAGCCCAUACUUAAAGCUCUCCAAAAACAUGGUAACAUAUCCCCUAGGAGGCCGACUAGGAGUAUCAUUCUUUCCUGGGAUCUUAAGAAGUAUCUCACUAGGAAUACUAUACCUAAGCCGGAGGUCAGCGAGCUCAUCAAAUGUGGUCGUGCACGUGAUGUAGUCAAUAGCAUAAUCCCGCGACAAGGUUCUACCUCCUACUGUACCUCGCCCUUCUGGUCGCGAUGUUCCCGGUGAGGAUUCCCCACCAGAAUCACCUCUUUGAUCCUCACUCAAGGUGUCUUCCGAGCCAGAAGGUCCCUCCUCACUACUAUUUCCACUCGUGGAGGUUGUUUGGGGGGACACCCUCCUAGCGCUAGUCCCAACGCGGCUGUUAGAUAAACGAGAUCUAGGCCCGACAGGAGGAGAAGAGGAAGCAGAAUCAGUGGCUGCUCUACUAGUCUCUCCGGCUUUGGUAGGAGGAGGAGGUAGAGUCUGCAAGGGAGGAACCUGCUGCACAAUGUUCACCCGCUUCGCAGUGGGAGCGUUCUUGUCCUGGUCCAUCUUCGCAGUUUGAGGGCGAGGACGUUUCCGAAUCAGAGCCCCAAUCACAGUACCCUCCAUCUUAUAGCCGGGGGGCACCAAACAAGACUCGAGCAAGUUGUAAGUAGUUAUUAGCUCUCGGCUCGAGCAGGAGUUGGCCAGUAUAGCCUCGACCCGUUUGAGCUGGACAGGUUUGAGCGGGAAGUGAACACCCCAAGAACCUGUAAUACAAACAGACAUUUGGUUAGAAACAAACCAGUAAAGUGAGAACAACUAGGGAGACAAGACAUCUGAAACAAGCAGGCAACCUGGGACCACGAAACAAGGUGGGACGCGAAAAUCCUUCCCAUCAACCUGUGCAACUUGACCCCAGGGACCCCCAGUGAAAAAGAACUUCUUCUUUCAAUUCCCACCACCACCAGUAGGAAGAUUGGUUAUGAGUUUCCUUGUCUUAGUACUUGAUUGGAAGUAAUACCAGCCGGCAUCUUUGGGGCUGCUUUUCAGCUGGUACAGGUGCUUCACCUUGUCGACCGUGGGCUCGCUUUGACAACAUCGGUCCCACAAUAUGAACAGACCAGAGAGCACUCUCCACCCGUUGGGGUUCAGCUGACCAGGAGCUAGAUUUAGCCCAUUAAAUAUCCAGGCAAAAUAAGGUUGCAAGGGACACCUCAGCCCAUACUUAAAGCUCUCCAAAAACAUGGUAACAUAUCCCCUAGGAGGCCGACUAGGAGUAUCAUUCUUUCCUGGGAUCUUAAGAAGUAUCUCACUAGGAAUACUAUACCUAAGCCGGAGGUCAGCGAGCUCAUCAAAUGUGGUCGUGCACGUGAUGUAGUCAAUAGCAUAAUCCCGCGACAAGGUUCUACCUCCUACUGUACCUCGCCCUUCUGGUCGCGAUGUUCCCGGUGAGGAUUCCCCACCAGAAUCACCUCUUUGAUCCUCACUCAAGGUGUCUUCCGAGCCAGAAGGUCCCUCCUCACUACUAUUUCCACUCGUGGAGGUUGUUUGGGGGGACACCCUCCUAGCGCUAGUCCCAACGCUAGACCUAAUGGGUUCUAAGGGGAUCCCGGGGUCAAAAGCAGGAUCUGUGAGCAGAUUAGGCAAGAAACCUAGUUCGUCGUCAUCAAUCUCGACGAUUUUUUCUUUACCUUUCGACAUUCCCUAAGUUAUAACCAGAACAACACCACCCACUGCUACCCAAGCAAAGCAAAGAGAAAAGAAAUUAUCUACAACUAUCCGAGACCGAGGAGAUAGAAGUAAUACCUGAAGUAGUAGUGGUUCAGUCGAAAAAAGGCAGGGAAUGAGGCUUUUAUGCCGGAACUUCUUUGCCGGAGAGACAGAGACUGAGACGGAGUAAAUGACGAAUUUUCCCUUUGAGAGGUUUUGGGUUUUCCUAAUGGAGAAUGAACUCUUGGAUUGCCAGCAUUUAACAACACCGAAUCCCAAGGGUCUCAUAACCGUUGGUUUGAAAUUCAAAUAGAGGGGUAAAUUUCUGCCACAUCACCUCGUCCGCAAUUAAAUGCGACACGACUCUUGGCAGCCUUUUCCUAUCCCGCGCGAGCAAGAACUAUCGAGUUUCUACUGUUGGCUCACUACGCUACCCAACACCAGAAACUGGGGGACCGGUGUUUGAGGGAUAUGCUCCGACGAAGACCAGUAGUGAUGAGCAGACAUCUGGUAGCAGGGUUCCGCGAAUAGGUGUAUCUUGUAAGACUCCGGUGGCCGGGGGAGCAGGAGUAGGAAUAUCCUGCUCGUCCGCGAGUACGUCAUCUACGAGGCCAACCUCCUGAUGGAAGCAUAAAGCCAUCCUUGCUAAGGUUUGAGUCGAGGAGACCCAAUCAACGACAGUUGGCGAGACGUGCUCUACAACCCGAGAAUCAAGGCACGAAGGCCACGCAGCCAUCCACGACUGCAGAAAUGGAGCAUCCACUUUCGAGAUGUGAGAGGAUAACGGGCGUGUAUGGAGGGAAGGUCUGGAUGCAGGAGAGGCCUAUAAAAAGGCAGCCAACGAAGGUAAAAGGGUUAGAAUUUUUGAGAUUAGAACUGAGAAAAAAGAGAGAGCUCUAGAGAAUUGAUACGUCAUAAGAUUUGUGGCUAGCAUUCCCAGGAAUACAAAAACCUUCAUUUCUGACUUGAGCGUCAGAGGGUUUACGCUGGGAAAACAACCGGCGUGCUCUGACCUGUUUCGGUGUACGCAGGAACUUUUGGAGAAGAAGCCUUACGAGGAGAGAUCCUAAUCGUGGUAGAGUUGAUCGAGCAGAGAUCCUGGUCGUGUAAGGAGGAUAACCAGAAUCUCGCAUCAACACAAAUAAAUCUAAUUUUUUUUAACUCAUUUUUUAAAUUUUCACUGAAAAAAGUCAAAGAGUUUUCCUAAUUAAAUUAGCCUUAAAUCUAGAAUCCGUCAAAUAUUUGUUCUGUUUUUUUUUUCCAAAAUAGUUCACUUGAUCCUCCUCUUGUCUGUAUAUGCUAAUUGUCACCUGGCAUUUUGUUUAUUUUCCUUCUGUACUUAAUAAUGGGUUACAAAAAAACCUAUAGAUUAUUAGGAAGACUUCUGGCCAAUAGCUUCAAUUACUAUGCAAAAAUUGAAUCAAUAAUUGUUAGAUUAACCAUAUUGUAUGUUUGAAAUAAGGACCUUUUUAAUUCAUCACUUGAAAAUCGAAGGAGAAUGUUAUUUUGACAAAAAAUUGGGUUACAAAAUUUUGACUAAAAGCAUUAUAAAAAUAAAAGUUGCUUUAUAACUGCCCUAGUAUUUUAGUUUUUCUAUGCAUUUGUCAAGAUUUUGCAACCUUUUUUUUUUCCUUCUCUGGUCGAAGUAACGUUGUUAAAUUAUCCUAAGUUCCCAACUCUACAAAUCAAAAGUUAUUUGUGUUUCACUUCUUCACGAAUACUUCACUAAUAAAAAGCCUUUCACUUACGUAAUAAAAUUUGUUCCUACAAAAAUACAAUUCAAAACCCCCUCAAAAUCGGUACAUAAUCCAAACUCCACCGUCACGCGGCAUGAUUCAUGUUUCAUCUCCAUCUCAUUAUAAUCUGUAAAUGGGAAUAUAUAUAAAGUUGAUGAACUCAACAAAAUCUUAAAAGAAAAAAAAUAUACACAAAGACCCAAUUGCCAUACGUGUGUGUAAAUACUAAAUUGGAGAUUUGAAGGGUCUUAGAAGAUAUAAAAAAUUCUUAGUGAUUUUUUUUUAAUUGACAACUUAAUUAAUAACUAUUUAACAAAAAUGUGAGUGAGCACAAAAACACAUGCAGAUCUAUUCAAUCCCCAAAAUUAGAAAGCAAAAUCUACCGGCUUAACCCUCGGUUUCCCGCGGUUUAUACACUGUCUAAUAUUUUUCGGUAUGUUUUAUAAGUAAAAGACGUUUUGAUCCCUAAAAUACCCUGAUUGAUGGUGUAUGGGCAAAUAUUUUUAACAUAAUUUUAUAACUAAUAGUCUUUGAUUGAGAAAAAUAAAAAUAUGUGUACCUUAGCUUUGUUCUUCCGACACAAAAACAUUGUAGUUUAGUGUGAAUAAUUAUAAAAAAUAGAUAAAAUUAUUGUUUAAAGGUUUCUGUAUUUUUCAAUAUUCGAAUUCGAAUAUACAAUCAAAGAUAGUUAUUUAAAACCCACUCAAAUACUUGGGAGUAACAAUUAUUCAUAAUCUCCAUCUAAUGCUUUCUCAUAACAAACAUAUCAUAAACUACUAAUGUAAUUAUUACAAAUUUUUUAUCAAAAAUUUCCAAAACCCUAGAAAAAAUUUCAUUAAAAUGCACCUUGUACAUUAAUAAUCACUACAAUAAACACCGGGGUAUUAUCGUAAUAUCAUUCUUACAGUUACGACCUAAAUGGUCCAAACAAAAGAAUAAAAAACGCGCGCAGUUAAAUGAGUUUAUGUGAGCGGCAGAAGAGAGAGAAAAGACCGUCCUACGUGGCAAUCUCUCUCUCUUCCCCCCUCAGCUUUCGUUCCUUUCUUUUUGAGCUCUUCCUUAACUCUCUCUCUCUCUCUCUCUCUCUCUCUACAUAUAAAAAUGCAAAGCCUCUCUCUCUCUCUUCCUCAGUAACCUCUAAAGUUCCUCUCCCUCUUCAUCUUCCUCGAAUCUAUUUUUAGCGUACCCUUUAAGCCUCUCAUUCUAUUUUUCAUUCGAAAAGCAAAAAACUCAACACCCAUUUUUAUUUUUUUAACCCAUUUGUUGUUACUUCUCCUUUGUUGCUUUUUCAUUGCUUUGAUUCCUGGCGUUUAUCUCUUCAACAAAACCUUCGUUUCUUGGCAUUUUUGGUUUCUUUUAAUGCACAUUCUUCAUGUUACUUGAAUCCUUUUACCAAAAAGUCACCUUUUUAAACCCCAAAACUUAAUCUUUUUGCUCUGUUUUUGAACCAGAUUUUUCUGUUCUUUUUUUUUUUUUCAUUUUUAUCAAGAGACUGCCAACAUGUUUGACGUAGGGAGAUCAAAAUUCUAUAAGAAAAUGUAUGUUCAAAAGAUAAACCCUAAAUUGGCCUUCUAUUUCUUUUUGUUAAUCUUUUGUAUUCUCUCUCUUUUUUCUUUUUUUUCCUUUCCUCACAUUUUUUAUUUUUGUUGCAGUAAACAUUUGUUGAAGCUUUCGAAGACAAGAGUGGAAACAAUUGUAAAGAAGAGGAAUGCGGUUCAGAAGUACUUGAAGAAUGACAUUGCUGAGCUUCUCAGGAAUGGCCUUGAUGUUAAUGCUUAUGGCAGGGUAAUUUCUUGUUUAUUUAUUUAUUUUGGUGUCAUUUGUGUUUUAUUUGUAUGAUUGUUACUUCUGUAUGUCUAAUAUUUUAUUAAAUUUUAAGAAAUAUUGAUCCACGGUUGAAUUCUCAUGAUCUUUGUUAAUUCCAUGCUCUGCUUCAUGAUUUUUUUCUCUUUAUUUCUGAUUUUUAAUAAUAUCUAUGAAUGGCAUAAUAUGGUUAAUAUAUCAAACUUUUUUUGUUUUAAUUUUCUUAUCUUUGAGUUGCAUUAUUUUCUUUUUUUUUUUAAUUUUUUUCAUUUUCAUCUUCCGUUUAAUAAUCAGAAAGUGAUGCAAUUUUCUCUUUGUUUUCUUUAUAUUUAAUAUGCAACUUGAAGUUUCUAUUAUAAUAAGAUAUGGAAUUUAGAUGUUGUUUGUUUCUGCUGAGAUAACAUGACUUUUCAAUAAAUUUUGUACUUCUCUAAUUAAUUCACAUGGCACGUUACAAUUUGCUUGUUCUUACACCAGCAAAAUAACUUUUCGUAGGGCCUUUAUGUCAUAUCUAAUCAUGCAUGUAUGUAUUCUAGUGCCUUCAAAUCCACCUUCUUUCAUAAACUAGAAAUUUAUUUCUAUUUAUGGCACUGCUAUGAACUGUAUUUUGUGAUUUUGUCCAUGUGAUUUAGUCAUGACAAUCAUGAGAAAUUGUUUCCGGAUAGUUGUUUGUUAUGGAAGAUUACAUCUCUUCUGGAGUUUGUGGUUUCUUUAUAUGUCGUUCCCAAAAAUAAGCUCCCUAAAGGAGGUGCUUGAUUGUCUGUUACAGGGCUGCCACAAUAGGUUUCAUGUGUUCUGGAGACAUGUCCUUUUGUUUUAAUCGAGAUUUUGUUUCUAUUACACCUGAUUGUUACUGUGCUUGGCAUUGGCAUUUUUUAUCAUUCCUCUGUUUGCAUAUACAUCAUUGCAAUUUAUUUUGAUGUAUUUUUCUUCACACACUCGUAUGAGAUACAAAAAUGGACCACUUUGAGAUGUAAAUAAUAUUAACUCUGUUUUAAGGUGUAUAUAUGGACAUUUUCCUAAUUUAAUUUGUUUGACAAGCUAGUUACGAGAUGAGAUAAUCAAAUGAUUUAAAAUGCUUGUACUGUGUUGUGUAUCUAUAUAACGGUACCCUGUUAUUAACUUUUUCCUAAUUUAAUCUGUUUGACAAGCUAGUUACAAGAUGGGAUAAGCAAAUGAUUUAAAAUGCUUGUAAUGUGUUGUGUAGCUAUAUAAUUGUACCCUGUUAUUUAGCUAUGUUAGGAACUAUAACACAGCUGAAAGUUUAUAUUUGGCAUAAAGAAAUCUCAUUUUGCCUCUGUAUUAUACAGUACACAUGCCAAAAACUUAUUUAUUUCUCAUGGAUGGUGAAACAGGCUGAAGGGCUUCUGGUAGAGCUAAACUGGUCGACUUGUUACAAUUUCAUUGAGCAGUGUGUUGGGUGUAUCUUAGGCAAGCUUGCAGCCAUGGAAAGUCAAAGGUUUAGUGACCAUCUAACCUACUAUGGAAUGGCUUCCGUCCAUUUUUCAGAACUAUCAUACUUCAUUCUGGUGUCUCAUAAAAUUAACCCUCACCUCCAUUCACCGAAGCAUGGUUCAGAAGCCAUGGGUUCAAAUGAACAAAGAUGCAUGCAUGCAUGCAUACGUUUGGGAAGAAAAAUUUUCUGCCUUGGUUGAUUUUUGUUGAAAUGUGUAUUAUAGUAAAAUGAAGGAACCCAUAAAGAAAUCCAAAAAGACCAUUCAAUUGCUACUGAUUAUGAUUUUUCAUAUUGUUGAACAUCUAUAUUAGGCUGCAGACAAAUUCUGCUUUUUUAUGUUCGACCGAAUUCUUUGCUUCUUGCUUUGAAUACCUUUUGCCUCAACCACGUAGCUGGGUUUCUCAUAUCAUCUACUUUGAAAUCAAUUAUAUUUCAGGGAAUGUCCUAAUGAAUGCAAAGAAGCUGUACAAUCUUUGAUGCACAGUGCAGCAAGAUUUGCUGACAUGCCAGAACUACGUGAACUCAGAACUGUAUUUACUGAGAGAUAUGGGAAUUCCCUCGAACCUUUCCUCAAUAAAGAGGUGAGAAUCCAUGACUUUUCUCCAACAGUUAGAUCUCUUUUCUGCCUAGGAUCUUGUUUUUAGCACUGACUAGUGAAUUAUUUUUAUGUAGUUUGCUGAGAAAUUAAGGUCGGGCCCUCCCUCAAAGGAGAAGAAGCUUCAGUUACUACACGAUAUCUCACAAGAAUACUCCCUAGCAUUUGAUCCUGUGUCUUUGGAACAGAAAAUGUUUAAACCGCCACCACCUGCACAAGUUAGUUUCCUUGUCAUUGACCUAAAUGAUUCUAUCUUCAUACAGGAUGGAAAUCUGCUUUCUUUAGUCCCCAACCUUCUCCAAGAUGAAAUUUUUUGAAUCCUUUGCUGGAUUAAGUAAAGGCAUAGAGACAUCCUGAGAAGUAGCUUUUAGACAAAGUAACUUGUAGCAAAAGUCCCAGCUUAAACUUGUUGAAUACAAUGUUAAUUUUGAAGUGUCUUAUGUCUCCAGUUGUUCUGCCUGGAUACUAAAAUUUACCUCACAUUCAGCUUCUGUAAUGCUGUAAUUGAUCAUGCUUUUAACGAUUAUCUUGUUUUGCUAAUACACUUGCAACAUGGAUGAAUAUUCUGCAGGAAAAGCAUAAGCGGAGAUCUUCCAAUGAUGCAGAGGAUGAUGGAUACAACCGGCACAGACGAAAGGAUGAAGCUUUGCCAGAAAGAGCUGGCCACGAUAGGGGGAAUAGAGUGAGUAACUUGACGGAAAAGCCUAAGCGUGGAUCUUCCUAUGAUGCAGAGGAUGAUGGAUCCAACCAGCACAGAAGAAAAGAUGGUGCUUUGCCAGAAAGAGAUGGCCGCACUAGGGGGAACAACAUGAGUAACCUGAGGGACUGUGAUGAGCCAAAAAGAAAUGAAAAGGACUUAAGAUAUUGUGGAAGGAAAGUUGUCCCUAAUGAUAGAUAUAAUAUACCUAGUUGUAGUGAGGAUGAAGAGCAUGGCAACAACAGAAGAAACAGCCCCAGCCAUGAUAGUCAACAAACUAGUUCAAGUUCAGUUGGAAGUUUUUCUGAGGAGGAAGUGGAUAGCAGGAAGCCCUUUUCCUAUGGGUCUAUCCCUCCGCCUUAUGUCAGACGGAAUGCCGAGCAAAAUAAUCUUCAUUUUCCUAUGGAAAGGGUUGGAUUUAUGGCGGAAUGACAAAAAGAGAAACACAAUAAAACUCUCCGAUUAGGGAUUUAAGACGAAAGAGGGAACAUAGGCGUUUAAGUUACACAUGUGUCAGUUCAAUCGCUGCGUAUCGAGGACAGAUAAGACGCCGAUUUAAAUUUCAAAUACAGAAGAUAGAAAGUGCCACGUCAUCGACAAUUAAGACGACAUGAUGGGAUGUCAGCCCGGCUGUGUAAUGGACCCGCUCACGAAGGCCCAUCCGCAGACUAGAAACUCUCUAAAUAGAAAACAUCACCUCGGGUCCAUCACAAUAAAACAAAGACCAGAAGGAUGCUACCCGGGGAUGGCCAGAUUCAAUUCUUAUUUUCUAGUCUCAACUCGUUUCACUCGCAAGACCAGAAACUGGGGGACUGGUGUUGAGUCAUAAAAAGUACUCGUUAGGCAUCUCCUCAUUUCUCACCCUGGAGUGAAUCUCCCCAGCUGAAUGGCACGAGCAGAUUCCUGGUAAUGCAUCUUGUGCGGAGCACAUGCCGACUAGAAACGAAUACCGACCAGAGGUACAUAUCGAUCAGGUACUCAUUACUCAAAGAAAGAGGACACGAUCUCACGAACUCACGAUAAUUUCGCCAUGCCCCAAACCGCUUGGAAGAACAUGAUGCCCCACGUUUAUCCACGAUUUGGUGGUUGGAGACCCAUGAGGGUCCGUCAUCAACCGAAAAUGAAGGGCAUGAAAAAUACACAGAAAAUGUGGGAUGAUUGCCUAUAAAAGGCCAAGAAAUCAAUGGAGAAUGGGAGACAAAAAUGGAGGGAGAAGGGGAAACUCUGCCAAAUUAAAAUCGUAAUUCAUUUAAUCCAGAUCCUUGGUACACAUUGUGUUGAGAACAUUGCAAUUAAUUUGUUCAACUUAAACCAUAUAGUUUUCCCAUAAACAUCUUGUACUGACUUAAGCAUCGAAGGGUUAAACAUCUUGUACUAAUGUCCCAAAAAAAUUUUUUUAGGGUAAAAAUGUCCCAACGAUUUUUUAUUUCAAUCUAUGUACUUCAACAGAAAUGUAAUUAAAAAAAGGGUAAUUAAAAACGAUUUUUUUCAUUAACGACUGUUUUUAAUUAAAAAAAAAAAUUGGAAAUGUUGACACAUAAAUUUUGAACAGGAAAUUUUUCAAACUUUAAUUAACUUAAUACAUUAUUAUUUUUUUUAGUUUCUCCUUGUCCCCAUCGAAGUUUAACUUAUCAAGCAUUUUCCUUUUUGUUUUAUUAUCUGUUUCGCAUUAAUAAUUAGGAGUCACGUGGUCUCAUAAAUAUACAACGACAUCUAUAUAUCUAUAAUGUGAUAUUUUUGAAAAAACACCACUCGUUAAACAACACGUGUCGACAAUAAUGUGACCAUACGCGGUGUUUUGAGUGAAUGACUCCCCGAACUCCCAUGUGAGCAUUAAAUGCGUUACUCGAGUCAAAUAAGUCAACGUCUGCUAUAGUCAGUCACAAAAGGCGCGUGUUUAUUCUAUCUUGUUGCUGUUGAUCUGUUUAAGUGAGUAAUUUAAUUAGAUCAAAUUAGGAAUUCUUCAUCGCAAAUCAGAUCAAUUGAUUUGUCUCAAUUGUUAGUUUAGUUUGGAAAUUGUCCGUUAACCUUUACAAACUUUCUUCGUUUCAGUAAAUGAAUGAUUUAUAAAAUCAUAUAUAUUACACAUAAGAAUAUAAUAAAUUCUCAAAAUUUACCAAAUAUCUGCAUACAUAUUGUUGAUGCGAGAUUCUGGUUGUCCUCGUUCUACGACCAGGGUCUCUGCUCGAUCAACUUCACCACGAUCAAGAUUUCUCUUCGUAAAGCUUCUUCUCCCGAGGUUCCUGCGUACACAGACAGGUCAGAGUACGCCGGUUGUUUCCCCAGCGCAAACCCUCCGACGCUCAAGUCAGAAAUGAAGGCUCUGGGAAUCUUUGCCACGAAUCUUAUGGCCUUUUUUUUAAUCUCAGUUCUUAGAGUUAUCUUUUCUCAGUUCUAAUAGUAAAAGUUCUAACCCUUUUCCCUUCGUUGGCUACCUUUUUAUAGGCUUCCUCUGAAUCCCAGUCUUCCGUAGUCCACGCCCAUUAUUCUGCCCACCCUCGGAUGUGGAUGCCCCAAUGUCGUCAUUGUAGGCGAAUGGAGAUGGACUUCGUGCCUUGAUUCUGCCUCUAACAGGAGUUCGUCCUCGUUUCUGGUCUCGCCGAAGUAUUUCCCUCAAACACCGGUCCCCCAGUUUCUAGUGUUGGGUAAUGUAAUGGACCAGCAGUAGAAACUCAACAGUUUUUGCUCGCGUGGGACUGGAAAAGGCUGCCAAGAGUCGUGUCGUAUUUAAUUACGGAUGCGGUGAUGUGGCAGAAAUCUACCCCUCCAUUUGAAUUUCAAACCUACGGUUGCAAGAUUCUUGGAAUAUGCGUCAUUAAAUACUGGCAGCCCAAGAGUUUGCUUCUCAGUAAGAAAACCCAAAGUCUUCAAACACGAACUCGUCAUUUUCUCCAUUCUUGUCUCUCCGGCGAAUGAACCUCGGCAUUAAAGCUGUCAUCCCUGUCUCUCUCUGACCGAGUCCCUGCUUCAGGUAUUUCUUCUAUUUUCCCGGUCUUGGUUGGUUGUAGAUAAUUUCUUUUCUCUUUGCUUUGCUUGGGGUAGUAGUUGGCGGUGGCGUUUUGGUUAUUAUUUAGGGAAUGUCGAAGGGUAAGGAGAAAGUCGUCGAGAUUGAUGACGACGAAAUAGGUUUCUUGCCUAAUCUGCUCACUGAUCCUGCUUUUGACCUCGGGAUCCCCUUAGAGCCCAUUAGGUCUAGUGUCGGGACUAGUGCUAGGAGGAUGUCCCCCCAAACAACCUCCACGAGCGGAAGUAAUGAUGAGGAGAGAUCUUCUGGCUCUGAAGGUACCUUGAGUGAGAAUGAGGAAGGUGAUUCUGGUGAGGUGUCUCCAUCUGGAACACCACGACCAGAAGAACGGGGUACAGUAGGAGGUAGAGCCUUGUCGCGUGAUUAUGCCAUUGAUUACAUGUCGUGUACGACCACGUUUGACGAGCUCAAUGACCUCCGACUUAGGUAUAGUAUUCCUGGUGAGAUACCUCUUAAGAUCCCAGGAAAGAAGGAUACACCUAGCCGGCCUCCUAAGGGAUACGUUAUCUUGUUUCUGGAGAGCUUUAAGUAUGGGCUGAGGUGUCCCUUACAACCUUACUUUGCCCGGAUACUUAACGGGCUAAAUCUGGCUCCUGGUCAGCUGAACCCCAAUGGGUGGAGAGUGCUCUCUGGUCUGUUCAUAAUGUGGGACAGAUGUUGCCAAAGCGAGCCCACGGUUGAUGAGGUGAAGCACCUGUACCAGCUGAAGAGCAGCCCUAAAGAUGCCGGCUGGUACUACUUUUAAUCUAGUACCAAGAGUAGGAAACCCAUAACUAAUCUUCCAACUGGUGGUGGUGGGACUUGGAAGAGGAAAUUCUUUUUUGCUGGGGGUCCUUGGGGUCAAGUUGCACAAAUAGACGGGAAGAAUUGUCGCGUCCCACCCCGUUUCACGGUCCCAGGUUGCCUGCUCGCUUUAGAUGUCUUGUAUCUAUAAUUGUUCUUGCUUUAUUGGUUUGUCUCUAACCAAGUGUCUGUUUGUGCUGUAGUUUCUUGGGGUGUUCAUUUCCCGCUCAAGCCUGAUCAACUCAAACGGGUCGAGGCUGUACUAGCCAACUUCUGCCCGAGCCGAGAACUGAUAACUAUUUACAACUUGCUCGAGUCUCGCUUGGUACUCCCUGGCCAUAAGAUGGAGGACGCUGUGAUUGGGGCUCUGAACAGAAAACGUUCUCGACCUCAAACCACGAAGAGGGACCAGAGCAAGGACGCCCCUACUGCAAAGCGGGCCAACAUCGUACAACAAGUCUCUCCCUUGAAGACUUUACCUCAUGCUCCUGCCAAAGUCGGGGAAACUAGUGGAGCAGCCACAGAUCCUGCUUCCUCUUCUCCUCCUGUCGGGCCUCGAUCUCGCUUACCUGACAGCCGAGCAGAACACUUGGUCCCCUGUCUCAAUGAGUUAUCUAAACUCGUGAGCAAGAAGGACCUGGAGGACUUUGAUAGCUGCACCCUGGGCGAGCUGGUGGGAGCCAUGCAGUAUAGCUCUUUCCAUCUCAGCUGCAUGACCACCUACUAUAAGGCUAAGGUUGGCCGUUAUGACAGGAAGAUGAAGGAGGACAUUCAGUCGGCGAUGACCAGAGCUGACGACGCCGAGAGGAAAGCAGGAGAGCUGAAUAUCGAGAACCUGAAGCUGAUAGAACAAGAAUCUCUUGCUCAAGCAAAAGCCAUUACCCUCGAGGAGGAGCUGACCAGGGUCAAUGAGGAUCUUCAAAGGCAGAAGGCUAUGUAUGAAGCUCAGCUCGAAUCUCUCCGCGAUUCCCACCGGGUUCAGGUCGAGAAUCAGUACGAUUAGGGACUUCGGUAUUCUUAUCGUUGCAUCAUGGCCGUCCUCGGGAAGCAGCAUCUUGAUCUAAAGAUGGACGACCUUGCAGCUGGUGUCGCCCAACAUAUGGACGAGGAGGCUGCAAAGGAGAAUGCCGAAGAGAUGGCACCAAUGGUGAUAGAGGAGGAAAACUCUCCUCCCCGUUGGACCAGCUAACUGAGGCUGCUCGGCUCGCGGACCCACCGUCUUCUUAAAUAUGUUUCUUGUAUUGUAACGAACAAUAUUUGUGAAGAUUAUCUGCUUUGUUAAUUAUUAACAAAUUAAUAGAAAUGUUUUUUAUUACUCUCUUGUGUUGUAAUUACGAGUUAUUUUUCCGCUUGAGAGUCUGCUCGUCUUCGUCUGGUCAAGCAGGCUCUGGCUUGGUAUAUGGUUUUGCCACAUGCCUUAGAAGAUUCUUCAAUGUUUGGGAUUCUGCUCGCCUUUGCGUAGUCGAGCAGAUCCUGAUACGCUUGGCUUAUGUCUCGCCAUAAAACAAGCUUUGAGACUUGAUGAGCCUUUGCAUGCCUUAGGUAAUCUCUGCAAUGAUUGGGAUUCUGCUCGCCUUCUCGUGGUCGAGCAGAUCCUGGCAUGCUUGGCUUCUGUCUCGCCAUAAAACAGGCUUUGAGACUUGAUGAGCCUUUGCAUGCCUUAGAAGAUUCUUCGAUGAUUGGGAUUCUGCUCGCCUUCGCGUGGUCGAGCAGAUCCUGGCACACUUGGCUUCUGUCUCGCCAUAAAACAGGUUUUGAGACUUGAUGAGCUUUUGCAUGCCUUAGAUAAUAUUUUGAUGACAGUAUGGCUGACUGAAAUUCCUCAUUAAUCCUUUUAUUGUCGAAUUCGGCUUACAUGAGAUCGCUUUGACAUAAAGUAAAUAAAAACAAACACGAACAGAAAGAACUUGAAAAUAUGAACGACUCUUACUGGAAAUAUUUCCUGAGAUGUGCUGCGUUCCAGGGGCGCUUCACCUCGUGGCCAUCCAUGCGAACCAACUUGUAAGCUCCUGGUCCAACUAGCUGCUUGACCCUGUAUGGCCCCUCCCAAUUCGGUCCGAGCACUCCUUGAGUUGAGUCUUUGGUAUUCUGAUUCACUCUCCUUAACACCCAAUCUCCGAUCUUAAACUGCCGCACAUUCACCUUCUGGUUAUAAUACCGUGCAACCCUCUGCUGGUAAAUGACUGAUCGCUCGGCUGCUUGCUCCUUUUUUUCCGUUAGCAAGUCCAAAUUCAAACACAUCUGCUCGUCGUUUUCCUGCUCGUUGAAAUGGUCUGUUCGGUGUGUGGUCGUUCCUAUCUCAGCUGGUAUGACCGCUUCAUAUCCGAAAGCCAAGGCGAACGGUGUCUCCCCCGUUGCUGUCUUAUGGGUUGUCCUGUAUGCCCAUAGUACGCCUGAUAGCUCAUCAACCCAAGCACCCUUCUUUGCUCCAAGCCUGGUUUUCAAAAGCCUCUUGAUCGUCUUGUUGGCUGCUUCUACUUGUCCGUUAGAUUGAGGGUGAGCAGGCGAGCAAUACUUCAACUAUAUCCCGAGGUUCUGGCAGAAAUCCCUGAAGCUGUGAUUAUCGAACUGCCUACCAUUAUCCGUUAUCAAGGCAUAAGGAAUCCCGUACCGACAGACCAGGUUUCUCCACACAAAGUCUGUUGUUUUCUUCUCUGUGAUCCUGCUAAGGGCUUCUACCUCUAUCCACUUCAUGAAGUAGUCUAUAGCAACUAUUGCAUGAGUUGCUGCUCCUCGUCCCUUUGGCAACGGCCCGAUCAGAUCAAUUCCCCAUUGAGCAAAUGGCCAAGGGGAUGCCAUGGAGGUAAGCUUCUCUGGUGGUUGAUUGGAGAAACUUGCAAAACUCUGGCAGCUUACACAGCUCCUGGUCUUCCCUUGCGUAUCCUGGUGCAUUGUCGGCCAGAAAUAUCCAUGUCUUAGAACCUUGUGAGCCAGGGACCUCCCACCAGAAUGAUUUCCACAAAUCCCUUCAUGUACUUCUCUCAGUACGUAAUCUGCGUCGUCCUCAUCCAAACAUCGAAGGAAAGGUAGUGUAUAUCCUCGCCGAUACAGUACCCCAUCAAUCAUCGUGUAUCUCGAGGCCUGGGCUCUAACCUUCCGAGCUCGCAGUUUAUCUGGUGGUAAUACCCCGUCUCUAAGGUACGAAAUUAUUGGGUCCAUCCACGAGCAUUUUUGUUCUAUCCGUAGCACCCCCAAAUUCUGUUCGAUGCUCGGGCUGGACUUCACCUCCAGGGGGAUCGACUUUGGCAUUUUUGGGUCUGUUACCGCUGCCAUCCUGGCCAAAAUAUCUGCUCGACUAUUCUGCUCCCUAGGGAUUUGUACCACCUCCACUGCUUCGAAUUUCCCCAUCAUCUGCCUGACUAUCUUCAGGUACUGCUCCAUCUUCUCCUCUCUUGGUUGAAAUCUUUCACUGACAUGAUUUGCAACCAGCUGGGAAUCAGUUCUGAUCUUCACUCUGUCUGCUUUCAUGGCCUUAGCCAAUUCCAAACCUGCUAUCAAGGCUUCAUACUCUGCCUGGUUAUUUGUGGCUGCAAAUUCUAACUUUACAGCGUAAGAGAUCUGCUCCCCCUCCGGUCCUUCCAAGACAAUCCCUGCUCCUGAUCCCUGCUCCCCUGAUGACCCAUCUACAGACAUUUGCCACACUUGAGCUUCGCCACUGUCUGUAGCUACCUCUCGUUGAUCCAAACAUACUUCGGGCUCUGUGAAUUCUGCUACGAAAUCGGUCAUUGCCUGAGCCUUUAUCGCUGCUCGGAGUUUGUAGUCUAUGUCGAACUCGCUCAGCUCUACAGCCCACUUGACGAGCCGACCAGAGGCGUCUGGCUUGUGCAGAGUUUGACCAUUCCAAAUUCCAAUCAGACUGCUGUACCGUACAUCCGCCUUGGCCGUACAGCAGUCUGUUGUUUUCUUCUCUGUGAUCCUGCUAAGGGCUUCUACCUCUAUCCACUUCAUGAAGUAGUCUAUAGCAACUAUUGCAUGAGUUGCUGCUCCUCGUCCCUUUGGCAACGGCCCGAUCAGAUCAAUUCCCCAUUGAGCAAAUGGCCAAGGGGAUGCCAUGGAGGUAAGCUUCUCUGGUGGUUGAUUGGAGAAACUUGCAAAACUCUGGCAGCUUACACAGCUCCUGGUCUUCCCUUGCGUAUCCUGGUGCAUUGUCGGCCAGAAAUAUCCAUGUCUUAGAACCUUGUGAGCCAGGGACCUCCCACCAGAAUGAUUUCCACAAAUCCCUUCAUGUACUUCUCUCAGUACGUAAUCUGCGUCGUCCUCAUCCAAACAUCGAAGGAAAGGUAGUGUAUAUCCUCGCCGAUACAGUACCCCAUCAAUCAUCGUGUAUCUCGAGGCCUGGGCUCUAACCUUCCGAGCUUGCAGCUUAUCUAGUGGUAAUACCCCAUCUCUAAGGUACGAAAUUAUUGGGUCCAUCCAUGAGCAUUUUUGUUCUAUCCGUAGCACCCCCAAAUUCUGUUCGAUGCUCGGGCUGGACUUCACCUCCAGGGGGAUCGACUUUGGCAUUUUUGGGUCUGUUACCGCUGCCAUCCUGGCCAAAAUAUCUGCUCGACUAUUCUGCUCCCUAGGGAUUUGUACCACCUCCACUGCUUCGAAUUUCCCCAUCAUCUGCCUGACUAUCUUCAGGUACUGCUCCAUCUUCUCCUCUCUUGGUUGAAAUCUUUCACUGACAUGAUUUGCAACCAGCUGGGAAUCAGUUCUGAUCUUCACUCUGUCUGCUUUCAUGGCCUUAGCCAAUUCCAAACCUGCUAUCAAGGCUUCAUACUCUGCCUGGUUAUUUGUGGCUGCAAAUUCUAACUUUACAGCGUAAGAGAUCUGCUCCCCCUCCGGUCCUUCCAAGACAAUCCCUGCUCCUGAUCCCUGCUCCCCUGAUGACCCAUCUACAGACAUUUGCCACACUUGAGCUUCGCCACUGUCUGUAGCUACCUCUCGUUGAUCCAAACAUACUUCGGGCUCUGUGAAUUCUGCUACGAAAUCGGUCAUUGCCUGAGCCUUUAUCGCUGCUCGGAGUUUGUAGUCUAUGUCGAACUCGCUCAGCUCUACAGCCCACUUGACGAGCCGACCAGAGGCGUCUGGCUUGUGCAGAGUUUGACGCAAUGGCUGGUUUGUUAUUACCGAGACUGGGAAUGCUUGGAAGUAUGGUCUCAGCUUCCGAGCAGCAACCACAAGGGCAAGUGCCCAUUUUUUCAACGGUGGGUAUCUGGUCUCAGCGUUGAGCAGGGCCUUGCUGGUGUAGUAUAUCGGAUAUUGAACCCCUUCUUCCUCUCUCACCAGAACAGAACUUGUGGCCCGAUCUGAUACCGCCAAAUACAGAAAUAACUUUUCCCCAUCCCUCGGUGUGAACAGCAGAGGUGCUUGCUGCAAGUAUUGCUUCAAGUUCUGGAAGGCUUCCUCGCAUUCUGGAGUCCACUCUGUUUUCUUUCCCCUCCUUAUCACUUGAAAGAACGGCUGACACUUGUAGCCUUGGAUAUGAAUCUGCUCAAUGCCGCCAACCUCCCCGUGAGGCUCUGCAUCUCCUUAAGGCUACGAAGAGAGCUCAUCUGUACGAUCGCCUGGAUCUUCUCGGGAUUUGCUUCAAUUCCCCUAUGGCUCACCAUAAAUCCAAGGAACUUCCCUGACUCGACCCUAAAAGCACACUUCUCUGGGUUGAGCUUCAUUUUAUACUUCCUCAAAAGCCCAAAUGUCUCCUCGAGGUGUCCGACAUGUUCCUUCGGGAUUUUGGACUUGGUGAUCAUGUCAUCCACGUACACCUCCAUGGUUUUCCCGAUCAACGGCUUAAAGACCUUAUUCACCAGCCUCUGAUAGGUGGCUCCAUCAUUUUUUAGACCAAAUGGCAUUACCCUGUAACAGAAUAAACUCUGGUUAGUGAUAAAAGCAGUGCUCUCCUCAUCCUGCUCGUACAUGGGGAUUUAGUUAUAUCCCGAGAACGCGUCCAUGAAGCUAAGCAAACCGUGCCCAGCUGUUGAAUCUACUAACUGGUCGAUUUUUGGCAAAGGGAAACUGUCUUUCGGGCAUGCUUUAUUGAGAUCUGUAAAAUUCACACACAUCAUCCACUUGUCAUUCGCCUUCUUUACCAACACCACAUUCGAUAUCCACUCGGGAUAAUUGACUUCCCGAAUGAAUCCUGCUCUCAAGAGCUUUUCUACCUCGCCAUUUAUAGCCUCAUACCUCUUCUGGUUGAAGCACCUCCUCUUCUGUCUUACUGUCCGAGCACCUUUCUUUAUUGCCAGCUUAUGACAUGCUACCUCAGGAUCAAUCCUUGGCAUGUCUUCAUGUGUCCAAGUAAACACAUCCGCAUGAGCCUGUACGCAUUUCACCAACUCCUGCUUUUGCUCUUCCUUAAGUUUCGACCCGAUUCUGAUCGUCUUCCCCGGAUUCUCUAGUCUCAGGCUUACUGUCUCCAGAUCCUCUACAAGUUCUUGUCUGCCAUUCUUGUUUUCCACUCGGGUAUCGAGCGAUGUUAUCUGCAUUACUUCCCUUGCUGUCGAGGAGUAGCAACUUCUUACGAUCCUCUGGUCUCUUCGUACCACUCCAACUACCCCAUUCACCCGGUACUUGAGAGCCAGAUAAUGGUUGGACAACACCGCCUUGCUCAUCCUCAGAAAUGGCUGGCCUAGGAUCAUCUGGUAAGGACCUUCCUCAUCCACUACCACAAAGUCCAGUAUCAUUGUCCUUUCUGUCGGGGAGCUCCCAAUCGUGAUAGGUAGCUCGACCACGCCCAGAGGGACUAACUUUCCUCCUCCAAACCCCUUCAAGGAGGUAUUGGUGUAAUCCAACUUCAGAUCUGCUAUUCCCAUUUCCUCCAGGGUUGACUUAAACAACACAUCAACUGAGCUCCCUGUGUCAACCAGUAUCCUGUCAAACUUCUUGCUGGCAACAGUGGCCUUGAUAACCAAAGCAUCCUCGUGAGGGUAUAGAAUCCCUUCUUCAUCCUCAUCUGUCCACAUGAUUGGCACUUGCCUGACUCUGGCACGUUUGGCUGUUGGGGUGUUGAAGAAUACAUCUUUGCUGGUCAUGGCGUAUCUAGCAUAAUUCUUCCUCGAUCUGUUGGAAUCUCCGGCCAAUGUUGGGCCCCCAGCUAUCACCCUUACUGCAGGCUGCUCGCGCCUCAAGUUCCUGUCACUUUGCUCCCCUUCACUUGUCGAGGCUACCAUUGGGAAGGUCCCAUCUAUAAACUCGUCCAGAUACCGAUUUCUCACCAAAUCUUCGACCUAGGUCUUGAGAUCCCUACAAUCUGCUGUGGCGUGGCCAUGAGUGCCAUGGAACUUACAAUAGCGUCCCCUAUCCCUCCUGCUGGGUAGCUUUGUUAUUGGGGCAGAGAGGUAUAGCAACCCCCGAUCCUUUAUGGUCUCGUACACCUCGUCCAGGGACAUCUUCAAGGAAGUAUACCACCCAUAGUCCUGGUUCUGGUCGAUCAGGUGCACUGCCAUUUCUCUAUUUGCUCCGUUCUGAGUUGGAGGCUGUGGCAGCACUUCUGGUAUGCCCCCUCUACUACCGUGGGAGUGUUGAUGAAGACCACCAUAUGCCGAGUCAUGCCUUCUCCAAGGCUCCCUAGCUGGGGAACGAGGAGGUUGCGCCCUGCUGCGCUGAUACUGUGGUGGCCUCUGAUGAGGCUGGUAAGUAGUUACCCGACCUCCUACUCCACUACAUGAGGCCUGAUGGUCCCUCCUCCUGAUCGGCCCAUUCCCUGGCAAUGUUUUCUUCUCUUUCUUCCCCAACCCUUCUAACUGGUCUGUCUUGAUCCGUGCUGCCUUUUCCUCUUCAAUCUCAAUAUCCCUCUUAGCCUGCUCGUAUGCGGCUGCAUACGUCUGAAUAACUGGGCUUCUCAAAUUGUACCACAGUCUUCAUAUCUUCACCCCUUCUUUCAAUCCCCUUAAUGCCUGAGGAUGGUUGAAGGCUCCCAAAUCAAUGACAGCACGGUGAAACCUCUUGAUGAAUUCCCGGAGUGUUUCCUGUUCCCCCUGCUUCAUGUUUUUCAACUCCAUCAUGUCAUCUUCUGGUGCCAUUGCCCCACGGAACUGUUCUGCAAAUUCCUGGCACAUCUGCUCGAAAGUUUUAAUGCUCCCCCGAGGAAGUUUCCUGUACCACUCUCGUGCACGUCCCUCAAGGGAUAGUGGGAACACCCUGCACCUUUGGGAUUGAGAUAAUCCUUGUACCCCAGUUAUAUCGUUGAAGCGCUCUAUGUGCACUAGCGGAUCUGUUCAUCCCGAAUAUCUAAGGUCUGGGAGGCAAAAAUCUCUCGGAAUAACUGCCCUCAUGAUCUCUGCUGCGAGCGGUGAUUCUCCGUCCAGCAUUAUCCUCCAACCAGGAGCUCUGCUCCUUCCUUGCAUGUCGUCAAUUAUCUGGGCUAGUCUGCGCACUUCCUCCUCCAGCUGCACUGCACGACCAGGGUCACGUGCUGCAACUUGAUCCCGCUCUUGCUCUACAUCAAGCAAGUGUUGCCUCAACUCUGUUUCCUCUGCAUUUUAAUCCGCAAAAUGGUGGAUUGGAUAUGGAUUAGAUCAAAGCUGCAUCUGAUUUGUAGACGUAUGGAUUGGAUUUGAAUUGAAUUUCACCAAUCCGUGGAUUUGAUUCGAUUAAAAAUUUAUAAUCCGUAAAAUCAUGGAUCAGAUAUGGAUUAAUGUCCAGUUUGUAAAAUUUGAUCCGCGAACACCCUUAAUUGUUGUCAUCGUAUAUAUGAUCAUUAUAUCCACAAUGAAUUAACUUUUCUAUUUGAAAUCUUUAUCCUAGUAACCAUGGGCGGCCCCAAUUAAGGCUCAGGAGAGGUUUCAGCCCCUUUUGGGCCUUAAGUUUCUUAAACUAUGUCCUUUUAGCCCUUUUAAUUGUUAGAUCCAAUACUAUUAUUUUAAGGUAGCGUUUAUAGUUUGGAUUAGAGUGAGAAUCUUGAGGAGUGAGAAUUCUAGGAUUGGGAGUGUGGAGUGGGAGUGAGAGUAGAUUGCUUACUUACACUGGAAUGAAAGUAUGGAAUGAAGAUCAUAAUUCAAUUUAUGUGUUUACCUUGUCUUGGAUUGGGAGUAAAUAAUUUUAAAUUAUAAUUUUACCCUUAUUUAAAGAAUUAUAGUUUUUAAUUACAAAACUAAUAAAAAAAUAUUUAAUGAAUAAUAUUUAUUUUAUUAUAUUUGUAAAUUUAUUAUAAUUAUUAAUAUUCUUAAUUAUGAACAAUAAAUUAUUAAUUGUAAUUUUAAUAUAAAAUGAAAUGUUAUUUUAUUUUAUUUAAUAUAAUUAUAUUAAAUUUAUUAUUAUAUAAAAUAAUAAUAUAAUAUUAUUUAGUACAAAAUUAAUAUUUUCUUAGAAUAAACUAUUUAUUAUUAUUAAUAUUAAAUAAAUAUAGUACUAUUAUUUUUAAAAUAAAUACAAUAAUAUUAUAUUUAUUAAUUCUCUAUUAAUAUAAUAAUAUUAUUUUAAAAUAAUUUUAACUUACAAUCAAUGCAAAUUAUUAUUUAGUUAAAUAUAAUAUUAUUAUUCAAAUAAAUAUAAUAAUAUUAUUCAAAUAAAUAUAAUAUUAUUUAUUUUAUUUUAUUAAUUAUAAAAUAUUAAAUUAAAUUAAAUUAAAAAUAAAAGGGUAAAAAAGGAAGAGGUGGGAGUGGGAAUAGGUGGGAGUGGAUUCCCACUCCCACCUCCCCCAAUGGGAGUCCCACUCCCACUCCCCACUCCAAAAAUGAGUGGGGCCCACAGAGUGGGAUUCCCAAUCUCUUCCCAUUUUGAGGAAGUAAAUGCUGGAGUAGGAGGAAUCCACACUCCUCACUCCCACUCCAACAAGUAAACACAGCAUUAAAAUUGAGAAUGAUUAGUAGAGUUCUCAUUCCCAUAGGGAAGGGAGGAAUGAAAGUCUCAUUUCCUAAAAUAAUUAAUUAUCCCCACUUAAAUUUUGAAAUUCUCAUUUUAUAUUUCCUUAUAUAAUUAUUCUUAUUAUGAAAAAUUUAUUGUUGAUAACAAUCAUAAUCAUAAUAACACUAAUAAUAAUAUUGUUGCUACUAAUAUUAAUUAGUAUUAUUAAUCGUUACAAUUAAUACUUAUCAUUAUUAUUGCUGCUGCUACUAAUACUACUAAUAGCAACAUCAGCAGUAGUAUUAAUAGUAACAGUAAUAUUAACAACAACAACAACAACAACAAUUAUUAUUAUUAUUAUUAUUAUCAUCAUCAUCAUCAUCACAAUUAUUAUAAUAAGUAAUGACAAUAAUCAACUAAGGUCAGUUUAGUUAUUUGUAACAAUUCAUUCAAACUCUUAUUUUCAUAAUUAAAAUAAACAAUUUAUUCUGAUUCUCAUUCCUUAUUUCAAUUUCAGCCAAUUUCGAUUCCAACUCAUUUGGAUUAUUAAUUAGUAAAUACACCAUUAUUGUUAAGAAUAAAUCUCAUACUAUCAAUAACCAAUAACCAUAUACAUUGGUCAUUAUUCGAUAUUUAACAUUUUUUUCUCUUUAUUUUUUCUUUUGUUCUAAAGAGAAAUUACAAAGAUCUGCAUUGGGAGAGAAUACCUAUUAACGGUAGUGAGUGGAUGAUUCGUAUCAACCAAAAAAAGAAAAAAAGAAAAAUUGUAAGAGACUUGUUUCUUCGAAGGAAGAGGAAGAAAAAAACGUGAACAUGAAGUUCGAAUAGGGUGUAAGCCGGGAGAUGCUAAUAGCUCUACUCUAAAUUGGAUCACAAAGAAAUCUAUUUGGACGUCGGUCCUAAAACUAAAGAUGGUUUUUCUGGCUUGGAUCCUAAAAUGCAAAACCAGGUGCUGUUUCGGGGUCGGGUUCAUGUGUGUUUACAAGGUAAGCUUGUGGUUGUAUGUCUGUAGUGGGUAAAUCACAAGCACGCACAUUACAAAAAUAAAGGAACAGUAUAUGAUCAUGAAAUAUAUGCCCCACUACCAGGCUCCAAAUGAUCGCCUAAAGACUAUUGAUGUCAAAACUUUUACCAUGCUCAUCAAAUCAAAUCAAAUAUAUAUUUAAGAUGAUUAAUGUAAUGGGAAGUGACUCACCGAAAGUAUUGUUCUUAAUCCAUCUAAUCACAUCCUACUCAAUUGGCCUCUAUUCAUUUUUCAACCCUAUAUGCUAUCGCUAUCCUAUCGUCAUCACUCUCUUUCUAAUUUUUAUUUUUUUUCAUUGACAAAACAUGCUUGUCUGCUGUACCGUACAUCCGCCUUGGCCGUACAGCAGUUAACGCCUGAGGGUGGUUGAAGGCUCCCAAGUCGAGGACAGCACGAUGAAAUCUCUUGAUGAAUUCCCGAAGGGUUUCUUGCUCUCCCUGUUUCAUGCUUUUCAGCUCCAUCAUGUCAUCUUCUGGUGCCAUUGCCCCACGAAAUUGCUCUGCAAACUCUUGGCACAUCUGCUCGAAGGUUUUAAUGCUCCCCCGAGGAAGUUUCCUGUACCACUCUCGUGCACGUCCCUCAAGGGAUAGUGGGAACACCCUGCACCUUUGGGAUUGAGAUAAUCCUUGUACCCCAGUUAUAUCGUUGAAGCGCUCUAUGUGCACUAGCGGAUCUGUUCAUCCCGAAUAUCUAAGGUCUGGGAGGCAAAAAUCUCUCGGAAUAACUGCCCUCAUGAUCUCUGCUGCGAGCGGUGAUUCUCCGUCCAGCAUUAUCCUCCAACCAGGAGCUCUGCUCCUUCCUUGCAUGUCGUCAAUUAUCUGCGCUAGUCUGCGCACUUCCUCCUCCAGCUGCACUGCACGACCAGGGUCACGUGCUGCAACUUGAUCCCGCUCUUGCUCUACAUCAAGCAAGUGUUGCCUCAACUCUGUUUCCUCUGCAUUUUACACCCCAUCGUCCUCGUCAAAAAUCUGUCUUGCCGGGGAUUGCUCUUCCUCUCUACGAAAUUCUCCCCGCAGAGGUAUGUUACCUCUCUCACCACCAAAUCUCCCGGUGGUUUGACUUCUCCUCGUACUAUCAGGACCUGGUGCCACUCCACCAACUCUCAUCCUUUCCUCCUGGGUUACCCUUCGUUCACUCCGCAACUCAUGCAGGAUGGUUGUCAGGGUCUCCAUCUGCUUUUCCAUCCGUUCCAUUCGGUCGAACAUGGCUUUUUCCCGUGCUUCACUGGCUAUCUCCCUCAGAGUCACGGGAUCGUUAAGCCUCAUAUCACCCCCUUGUGCACUACUUCCUCCUGUCUCCAUUACUUUUCACUUGCUUCACUCCUCUUCUUGCUAUCAACAGAAGCUUUUUGAUCAGCUCCCCACAGACGGCGCCAAAAUGUUGAUGCGAGAUUCUGGUUGUCCUCGUUCUACGACCAGGGUCUCUGCUCGAUCAACUUCACCACGAUCAGGAUUUCUCCUCGUAAAGCUUCUUCUCCCGAGGUUCCUGCGUACAUUGAUUUAUGUAUUUGUGUUUAUUAUAUAUAUGUUUAUUUGUGUGCUUUCAUACAUGAAUAACCCCAAUCUUAAUUUGUAAACUUCUCCUGACUUCUUCUUUAUAAAUAGUAAUAUAUCUAUAGAAGUUUCUGCUGUACGGCCAAGGCGGAUGUACGGUACAGCAGCUUAUGCCUCUAAUAGGAGUUCGUCCUCGUGAAUGGCAUAUUCGUGGACGAGCAGAAUAUCCCUGCUCCUGUUCCCCUGCUACCAGGCUCUUACAGGACACACCUGCUCGCAGGACUCUGCCACCAAAUAUCUGCUCAUCACUUCUGGUCUCGCCGAAGUAUUUCCCUCAAACACAUAUGAAGAAGCUUUUAUUUUCUUCAUGGAAGCUUAGAUAUUCACUAUGAAACAAUUAUUUGACUUGUAUGUAUUCAUCUUGCUUUCAUCACUGAAAUUGUUACGUCAUUUAUGGAACAAUGAUUCCCUGAUUUAUUCUCGGAACCUUGCUGCUCCUCAGCAGCAACACUGAUGAAAAAUGCUGGUUGUUUUGGCGCAGGCAGGAAACAACAUCGGCCAUUGUAGGUCUAUUAACUGCUUGGUCGUGCACGCACAAGAGACCUGCAUGAAUGCAUCUCAGUAGUUCAUUUUCGGGGCAUGGUCCAUCCAAUGCUGCUUCCAUUAGCUCGGAAGCUUUACCUUCUUUCCACAGCUGCCAUGCUUCAGCACCAAAAAUGAUCCAAUGACUGUUUCUAAAUCAACAUAUAUAAUUUGGUAGAAUACACUUACGUAUCCCACAAGGUUGAGUGGGCGCUCUUCAUCGUAGCAAUUGUUGUUCUUCCGGCCGCUUACAAUUUCAAGUAGUAAGACUCCAAAGCUAAAUACAUCGGCUUUCAUUGAAACAAUGCCAUUCAUGGCAUACUCUGGAGCCAUAUAUCCACUUGAAUGGGGAAAAACGUCAAUUAUAUAUCCAUCCACAAGCAAAAAUAUGAAAUAAAUUGCAGAUAAAUAUAAAAGUUACUUACUAAGUUCCAACAACUCUGUUCGUAUUCACUUUUGAUUCAUUCAUCUAAAAAUUUCUAGCCAUGCCGAAAUCAAAUAUUUUUGGAUUCAGAUGGUCAUCAAGCAAAAUAUUGCUGGCCUUAAGGUCUCUAUGUAUCACUCUUAAUCUUGAAUAUUUAUGAAGAUAGAUGAGUCCUUGAGCUAUCCCUUCAAUUAUGGUAAUACGUUUACUCCAAUUUAAUUGUUUCUUCUUAACAGAAUCUGUCUCAAAGAGAACAUAUAUAUAUAUAGACACGUACACUUGUUAUAUGUAUAUUAGUGAAAUAGACGUACAUCUGAGUCUCAAAUGUCAAAAAAGACCUACCAAAAAUAAAGAAAUCCAAGCUUUUGUUUGGCAUGAAUUCAUAAACUAAAAUCCUUUCUGCUCCAUGAAGAGAACAUCCCAUAAGCCUUACUAGAUUUGUGUGCUGGAGUUUCCAAUGACUUUAGCUUCAUUCCUGAACUCUACAAUUCCUUGACUUGUCCGUCCUGAGAGUCUCUUCACUGCAAUUACUUGCCCAUCUAGUAACUUUCCCUGCAAUGAUGAUGAUCCCUGAUUUUAACCAUUUAUACAACUAAUAAUAAAAAUGCCAUUAAUAAAAAUUUAAAAAAUUAAUUUACCUUGUAUACCGGACCAAAACCACCCUCCCCCAGCUUGUUUGUCGUUGAGAAAUUGUUUGUAGCAGCAGCAAUUGUUUGAAAAUUGAACCCUUUCAGUUCGUGCUUCAUAUCUUUUGUUCUUCUUUUGCCAUUGAAAGUUGACAGACUAUCUCCAAGCUCAUUUACUUGGUUCUGUUGGUCCAUUCUGCCUUCAGCUAAUUAAGAUACAUAAGAAGGAUUUUUACAGACUAGUGAUUAGCAGCAGAAAAAAUAUCAAGAUUAAGAUAAGAAAAAUGUUUUGAGAAUAUGUGGUUUACAAGUCAGUGUCACUCACCAUGAUAAACAACAAUAGAUAAAGAAAUAAGAAUUAUACAAGUACCUUUUUCCUUGUAUUUUCUCCACGUUAGGCAGCAAAGGAUGCACAUCAGGAGUACUAGAAGAGCUCCUACAAUUACAAAAACUCGCCACUGCUUAUUUUCUGAAAUGUUAAAAAAUAAAAAUAAAUUAAACUCCGCAAAGAUAUUGUUGAGUAGUUUCUGUAAAUAUAUUCAUAAAAUAUAUAUGUAGGCUUACCAGCUUUGGGCUCAAAGAUGUAUAUUGGUCGUACAAAGUUAGGAUCACUAAUCUUCGCAAACUUUGCCCCCUUGCUCCAAAACUCGCAGCCAGUGUUGGCUACACUAUUCGUGGGAGCGCAGGCAAAGCAUGAACAAUUUUCUGCGCAUUUAAACCUUCAUUCAUUUAAGGUCAUAUUGUCACUUUCUCUGAACCUGAAUCCUUGUCCAGACAUGUUACCAUAUUCGACCUUGAAAUCAAAAAUAUCUCUCCCACAGGGAAGCUAACGAGCCUGACCACAUUCUUGGUAAAGACCACAUGGACCAAUGGUGAAGCGGUGACCUGUGAGUCCACCUUCAGGAUCAAUUUUCAACAUUGGAAAUAAAGAGAUCACAUCUUCAUUUACAGAAUAAGAGAAAUAUUGUUCUUUUUCAUCAGAAAUGAAGCUAAAGUUAUAGUCCUGGUUGAUACUCUCCAAGUCAGAGAAGUUGAAGUGCCCAUUUGACAGAAUCCCACUUUUCCAAUAAUCUUUCUGUUCGACCUUGAUCGAAUUUAACCAACCAUGACUCCCCAAGAUUUAUCUAAACACGCUGAUGCUUGACUAAGAAACACUUAAGCAACCACAAAAGAAACACAGAAGAAGCUAAAAACAGCAACCAAAGAAAAAACAGAUUUAAGUGGUUCAGCCUGGAGAUGGCUUACAUCCACUGAAGAACAGAACAACAAUCUUUAUUCAAUCACUAGGAACAAGAUACAAGAUUAUAGAUGAAGUUACAAUAAUCACACACACUUAUUUCUUAUCUCUUAAGGCUAUAUAUACACGCUUAAGAGAGCCCAGAAAUCUCCCCCACCAGUCAGCUGUCCUCUGUAACUAAAACCCAGAUUUUUCCCGCUCUUGCAAUAGAACAUAACAACCUCUGAGCCACGUGUUUGCUUCACGUUAAAUGAAGGCUCCAAAACGGCACUCAGCAAAGUCGUAUUGUUGAGUUAAGCAUGUGAUGGCCACGUGCUUCACUUACUCACAGAUGGAUGAACAAACAGCUUUGUCAUACAGCUUUGAAUGACAUUAACAGACACGUCGUAUUAUGUUCCAAUCACGAACUGACAUAUCGUAUUAAUUUCUGGAAACCAGUUCCAGAGCUCACACUUCAACACUUUCCCUUCUGUUGACUGGAUGAUCAACUGGUUGCCAGUGUUCGAAUCCAAGCGUAUAGUAAAUGACCCUGGGGCAGGAGAGUCGCCACCAAUCCAUGAUUGGAGAAACCAUUUAUGCCCAGUUUGCAAAUUGAUUCCAAUUUUCAUCCCUGGCAAAAGAGUAUCUGUUAGAUAAUCAAAGCUUUGCCAAAGCAUUCGCCCUACAGACCAUCCGAGUUCAUUUCCUGCAGGACAAAAUUGCCUGACUGAAGCAGGGUAGCCCUUGUGACAUUACCCCCUUCUUGAAUCGAGCUUAUAGCAAUAGGAUUUUCCCCCUCGCGUAAAAUUUUCAAAUUUCCAUCUUUGCUAUCUAUCGUAAGACUUGCUGAUUCUUUAUGAAAUAUUGGGGUGUUCCGGUUGGCAACCCACACUGGUGGCUUGUAGUACCCACUCUCUUUCGCCGGCCUGUUGUACCAUAUACCUAGGUACUUGUCUGUACUAAAGCGAGGGCUAAAGAAUCCCAGCAUGAAUUUCCCUGAAGCUGAAACAAGCGGCUCAUCCAAAUCACUAAGCUGUUGGUUUUGCAGUAAUUUGUCCGUCUCUGAAAAACUAGUCUGCAAUGUCAACAGCACGAGGCAUGAAUACAUGAUCAAAAGGUGGCGAUUUCUUUCUUUUCUCUCCAUUUUUUUUCAGAUCAAUUGUGCGAAUGGACGAGUAAUGGAUGAUUUCAGGAUCAAACCAACUAUUACUAAUGAUUUUUAUGAGUGUUUGGUGAAUAAAUUCAACAAAUUUAGCUAUGACUCAUUAAUUUAACGUUGGUGAUAAGUGUGUUUUAUUUAUUUAUAUAUUUCUCAUUCCAAAUUCCAAUCAGAGACCGAGUUAUGACUCGUUCUCCGAUAAUUUUUUCUGCGCUCAAUAUUUUACCAGAGAGCGAUGCAAGAAAUAAAUUCUUUAUAAUAUCAACACGAGAGUGCUUAUAGGGUGUAUGUUUGCAUUGAAACAAAUUUUUUUCAAUUUUCUAAACAAUGUCAGCGCAUUCAAGAUUGUGAAUUUUGACUUUUAUCUUAAAAAAGAAGAAAAACAAUGAGAAUAGGUCAUCUUGAUUUAGUCCGUACAUUAAUAUGGCUAAAAUAUUUGUUAAUUAAAAGAAUGUGUAAUUUUCCCAAGAAACUUCUUUAAAAUAAAAUAAAAAUUACUGGAUAUAUGUUGAUAUGAAAUUUUGGCUAUGUACAUUGUCUGUGUCAAAUGAAACUAAAAGAUAAUUGGAGUUUGUUGAGCUAACUACAAUUACUAAUUUAUGGAACUAACUUAUGUUGUGUUUACUUGGGAGUGAAGAGUGCGGAUUCCUCCCACUCCAGUGUUUACUUCACUAAAUUGAGAAUGGAUUGAGAAUCCCAUUCUGUGGGCCUCACUUAUUUUUAGAGUGGAGAGUUCUUGACCGUGCGUAUGUCAGAGUUUCUGAUGAUGUAAAAACGAAAAAAAUUAAUUAAUAAAAGAAAUUAUGUUUGUAAAUAACAAAAACUUUGCUAAAAAAGUCUGGCUCCCUUUUAUAUUAACCCAAACUAUUGCAAAUUUACUAAAAGAGAUAAAUCUGAAAUACUAUUUUAUAAUAAAAUUUCUCCUAAUUUAAAUAAGCAGCACGUAAAUUUGAUAUCUAAAAAAAAAUAUAAAAAUCUUAAAAGUAAUAAAAAAAUAAAUUAAAAUAAAAAAUAAACAAGAAAGAAGCAUAAUUUUAGCUCAACCACGGGACAAAAUAACAUAAGCAGUUUUAUUUUGCAUGUAACCAUCAUACAUCAAUUUCAUUGGGAGGCUUGUGAUGUGGGUUCUGGGUGUGCAACUGCACACACUAUAUUAUGUUCGGCUAAAGAAUUAACAUGUAAUAAUAAGUGUAUAUUUAUUUUAAUAAUAAAUAAAACAUAUUUAUAUUAAAGUUUAAAUAAAACGGGUAAAAUUAUUUCCAAAAAUUAAACUCAAAUUCAAUUCAUUAUUAAACUACAUUUAUCAUAUAAUUUAUUAACGACCCACUAUGACAAAUUUAAACUUAGCAACUAUUUUCGUCAUGUUGUUUGUCCCGUUAAAUACAGAAGAGCUAAUAUUAACAUACGCUAUAAAAUUAAUUUGACAAUCAGUGAUCACAACAUAAAUCCCUCUUGUUCAACAAUUUUUUUUAAUUACCCUCGUGUUUCAAAAUCAAAGCCUAGAUAUAACGAUUAACGUUUUUUUAAUUCCCUUGAAUUUUUUUUAUUAAAACCAUUACAACAUGUAUCAAUUUUGUGAUGGGGCGAAGAUAGCGGAAGCGGAAUUGAUAGGGUAGGAAAACUAGAUAUGUAUCGUUCUUGUACCGGACCAAGCCAACGAGAUUAAUUUACGGGCGGAAUUGAUAGGGUAGGAAAACUAGAUAUGUAUCGUUCUUGUACUGGACCAAGCCAACGAGAUUAAUUUACGCUCUAAUUGAAGCAUGAUUAGAUGUCGUUCUAAUCUAAAGACUCAAUGAGUUUUUUAAUAACACGUAAAACGAGAUUAGAUGACGUUUUAAUCUAAAGAACUCUAUUAGAGAGAUUUUGAUAGGAAUUAUAAAAGAGAGAUUUUAUUAAAUAACUGAAUUUGAGUUAUGAAAAUAAUAACAAUGUCUCUUUAUUUGUAAUCGAGUAAACCCACUUCCCUAAAAUAACUUAAAAAAUGAAACUAAAUUACAAUUAUAAUGGAAAUAAAAUACUAAAUCACAUACCAUAAUAGACUCUAAUUAAAAUAGAAAGUACUAAAAUAAUAAAAAUCCUAAAAUCCUAAAUUAACCUGAAUUAACGACCUACAUCAUUUUGGUUGUCAUAAAAUUAUCAAUAGUGAUCCACUUACGAAGCCUCGACAUAAAGAUUGAGUUAAGACACUAUGAUGGGAUAAUAAAUUCAAUUUUCACUUAAUUCAUGGAAAUUAUAGAUACAUGCUUUAUACAUUUACACUUUGUAAGAAUAAUAUUUUUACAGUUUUAUUUGACCAGCCAUCUGAAUUUUGGAUCCUAAGAUUUAAAAAAUUGAAAGACCUUUUGAAAAAUAUAAACAUAAAAUAAUAAUAAUGAUAAUAGCAACAACAAUAUUUUUGCACGUCUUUGUCUACGAGUCCAUUUUGCCAACCCGCUAUAUUUCAUUUCGGGCUCGGAUGGACUGUUCUGGCCCACUUUGACCCCUUCGACCCAAUCGAUAACAAAAGCAAUCAAUGUAAAGACGAAAAUAACCUUAAUGGCCCAAUGCACUGACAUGAAUUUUCGAUAUGUGGUGUGGAUUACUAGAAGAAGAAUUGUCGGUUAGCCCAAUGUUGCGGGUACUCUUUCAAAGCCCAGACAAAACACUUGGGUUUCUCAGCUCUAUGCAACCUGCAGCGAGAAGAAGAGUAGGUCCAAAGAAAUAGUAGCUUCGUGAUCACGUAAAAUUAAGUUCAACUCUUCUCAAGAAGUCUCAACGUAUCAACAGUGCCGACCAGCCAGCAAUUAAUUAAGCACCCAGGCUCUCUCACUGUCUCUCUUUCUCUUUGAUGUCAAGAUUAAGCCUGGCUAGUUUUCGGUAUACUUGAUUUAUAAAGGAAAAUGGAAUGUAAUAAUAAAUGUAAGAUCAAAAUUUUCAGUGAUGCACGAAGUGCACUAUGAUAUUAUUUUAAGUGGUUUUUCUAGUGGUGUUUAGAAGAUUUUCAAGGUUUAAAUAGCUAAGCUAGCCUUAGUAUAAGGAUCAAAUCAUAUAUUUGAUAUAAUAUCAUUUUUUUUCUGUUUCAUUAAUCUUAUUUUAUGUUACGGUGUAUACAAAAUUUAAACGUAAUUUCCUGGAGGAUGCUCAGACGGCAGUUUUGUCAGCUAUUUAAUAAACUAAAGAAGCACAUCUUUUUCCCGAGACAAUGACUGCCGCGCGAGGAUGAAAUUUUAUAAUUUUUAUUAAAUUCUUUGAAAUUUGUCAGUUUUGUUUUUUGUUUUGUUUUUUUUUCCCCAAGGAAUCUUCUAUUUAAAGUUUUGAUUGGGAAAAAGAAGUGAUCCCAUCACCUACUAAAUAACAAGAAGAGGAGACAAAGAAAAUAUGGAGGCGUUGGUUUGUUCCACGUAUCUUCUUUGUCAUAAUAUCAUUUUUUUGUUUAAUUAAAGAGUCUAAAUAUUUUUACUUUUUGGCAAGACACUGUUGAUCAGACCUGCCGUUGGCAUAUAAAAGAAGAAAAAUAAUUAAUGUAAUUUCUCCAAAUUUUCAGGGACUUAAAUCAUGAAUAUUGAAAGAGGCUCUUCAACGGUCACAAUUUCUUUCUCUUGUUGGCCGCAUGAUGUGUUCGUCAGCUUUAGAGGCGAAGAUGUCCGCAAGAACUUCAUAGAUCAUCUCCAAGCUGCUUUGAAUCAAAAUGGAAUUAACGUUUUCAAGGAUGACAGAGAACUUGAGAGAGGAAAAGAUUUGUGUAGUUAAAUUAAAGUUAGUGUGAACGUAGUAGCAAAUCAGUUUCAUAUUAUGUAUAAAAUUGAAUAAGUAACAUGUCAUUGUUAUGUCAGAAACAAUUGGAAUGAGAAAAUUCAAACCCAACCCAAUAAAUAUUGGUCUGGAUUGGGUUGCAUUGUGAUUUGAGUGUUUAAAAAUUAUUUAAUUUCUUCUGCUGUUUUUUUCCCAAUCAUUAAUAAUCAAUUUAACACAUCUCAGCCACAGACGAGUUUAGUCAUUAGAUCUAUUGGUUGAAUAAGAAAAGAACAAAAUUUGGGAUACCUUGCAACUGUUGCAAGGUGGCUAGACCCUAAUAUAUAUAUAUAUAUAUAUAUAUAUAUANNNNNNNNNNNNNNNNNNNNNNNNNNNNNNNNNNNNNNNNNNNNNNNNNNNNNNNNNNNNNNNNNNNNNNNNNNNNNNNNNNNNNNNNNNNNNNNNNNNNNNNNNNNNNNNNNNNNNNNNNNNNNNNNNNNNNNNNNNNNNNNNNNNNNNNNNNNNNNNNNNNNNNNNNNNNNNNNNNNNNNNNNNNNNNNNNNNNNNNNNNNNNNNNNNNNNNNNNNNNNNNNNNNNNNNNNNNNNNNNNNNNNNNNNNNNNNNNNNNNNNNNNNNNNNNNNNNNNNNNNNNNNNNNNNNNNNNNNNNNNNNNNNNNNNNNNNNNNNNNNNNNNNNNNNNNNNNNNNNNNNNNNNNNNNNNNNNNNNNNNNNNNNNNNNNNNNNNNNNNNNNNNNNNNNNNNNNNNNNNNNNNNNNNNNNNNNNNNNNNNNNNNNNNNNNNNNNNNNNNNNNNNNNNNNNNNNNNNNNNNNNNNNNNNNNNNNNNNNNNNNNNNNNNNNNNNNNNNNNNNNNNNNNNNNNNNNNNNNNNNNNNNNNNNNNNNNNNNNNNNNNNNNNNNNNNNNNNNNNNNNNNNNNNNNNNNNNNNNNNNNNNNNNNNNNNNNNNNNNNNNNNNNNNNNNNNNNNNNNNNNNNNNNNNNNNNNNNNNNNNNNNNNNNNNNNNNNNNNNNNNNNNNNNNNNNNNNNNNNNNNNNNNNNNNNNNNNNNNNNNNNNNNNNNNNNNNNNNNNNNNNNNNNNNNNNNNNCUGUACCGUACAUCCGCCUUGGCCGUACAGCAGAUUUCUGUUGCGUGGAUAAUUUCCUGGGAGAUGGUCCAACAGCAGCAAUAAUUUUAUAUUUUUUUAAUUGAUCAUAUCAACAACAGCAGCAAUAUUAUUUAGUAUCAUCAUAUCAUAUGUUUGAUCUUACCUCAUUUAUUUUUAUAUCUUUAUUAUUUCAUUUGUCUUAUUUUAGUUUCUUAGUAUUUAUUGUAAUAUAAAUAAUUCAUAUAUAUUUGCAUUUCUGUUUCAUAUAUACUUUCCUGGAAGAUAUUCCAAAAGCAGAUUAAACAAACAAAAUGAAUUGUUGCAUCACCUACUAAAGAACAAGAAAAAGAGACGGAGAACAAAUAAAUGAAUAAAUACAAUAAAGAAAAUGAUCAGUGGAGAGUUGGUUUAUUCCAUGUACCUUCUCAGUCAAUACUACUUUUUGUUUCAUUAAAUAGUCUAAAUUAUCAUUAUCAUUUCACUAUAAUUAAAGAAAAGUUUCAGUGUUUAAAUUAUUGAACCUUUCGUUAUCUUUGACUAUGUCGUUGAUUCCAUUCUCCACCGUAGACCAUUGUCGCUCUUUAGUUUGAGUAGACUUACUGUCGACAAGCGAAAAUGGAGGAGUUAAUUAGAAAGCAUGAAAUCUUCUCCUUGAUUUCUUUGAAACAAACUUAAUUGGAAUCCAAAUUUAAAAAAGUUAGCAAAGUUACAAAAUUGCUAUGGUACUUUACAAAGUUCAUAAUUUCCAAGCAUUGACAGAUAAUGCAUUAACAAAUACAGAAAUGGUCAAAUUACAAGCCUCACAAGUUGCUACACUAACAAGUUUUAUCUGAGUUGAUUCUCCUUGACCACUGCUUGUAUAAAAAAUCUGAAUAAUAGCUUACAACUUCUGAGGCUUGUAACCAAAGACGCCUAAAACCAAUUAUUUCUAAGAGAAGUGGACAGCUUUAAACCUUUCUUCCCAAGCUUUAAGCAACUUCAAAGAAAAAUGUCAAGCCUUCAAGCUUUACUUUCCAAUCUUUACUUAUUGCAAUGAGAAAAUACUACAAUUUAAAAAAGAAAAAAAAUUGGAAGAUUGUAGUGGAAUUAUUCCAAAAUAAUAUUUUAUUCAUUUUUCCUUAAAAAAAUGCAAUUACAUUUGAAGAUGCCCUUAAUAAGAUAUAUAAGGAAAUCCUUGCUUUUGUAGUGUAGAUUAUUGAAGCUAGCUUUUCUCAAAAUAUUUCUCUUGCUUCCUAUAAUACACUCAAAAGCUGUAAGUUUUUUUUUUCUUAUACAUAUUUCUCUUUCAUUUUCAGAAUUAAUUCCCAUAUCUUGACGUUUAAUUAAUUAUUAAUAUCAACCAUUGGAUUUCAUUCCUAUUUAAAGGAAUCCAAUGGUUUCAACAUGGGUAAUGGGCAGAGUGUCAAAGCUGCUUAAUCAGUCAUUUACAAUCUUAAUUACAAUAAUUUAACCGUAAAAUUUAUCAAAUACAUGCAAUUACUUUUAAAAUUCAUAAAACUUUUGAAAAUAAAUUUAUCAAGCGUUUAAUUAAUUAUAUUUACAGAUAGUUAUUUAUAUAAUACAGUUAAUGACAAUUAUUUUAGAACUACAACAUUAUUAAAUUAAUCCAACAUCUCCUGAGGACUCAGUUAAAAUUUUACAAAUAGAAGGUUUCCAUUCCCAUAGAUUGCCGGCAAUUUAACUUAUUUUGAUCAAUUAUUGAUAUCAACCGUUGGAUUUCAUUCCAUUCUAAUGAAAUCCAACGGUUUCAACAUGGCUAGUGGGUGGAGUGGUGAAGACGCGUAAUCAAUUAAAAAGCCAGAUAACUUUCGUUUAGAUUCCUUGAAGCUUCCAGGAAGUUUGAUGGUAACUUCAUCAUGAGAGUUGCUUUUGUCAAUAUUUAAUAAUUAUUAAGAAAGUCAAUCGUUGACGAAGACUUGCUUUUGGAAAUACAUACAUUAGCUGAUUGCUUAAUUUCUUUUUUCAGCGAAAGAGUAUAUUUGCAUUGAUUAAAUUUUUUGAAUCAAUAUACCGCAUUGGAGUUCAUUUAACCAGCUUCCUGCUAUACACUCAAAAGUCGUAAGUUCGAUCUUAUACAUCUCUCUCUUUUAUUUUCAGAAUUAAUUUGUAUAUCUUGAUGUUUAAAAAGUGCAAAAAAAAAAUAAAUAAAAAAUAGAAAGAAAUCUUUGUAUGUUAAUUUUGUGCAAACUUUUUGCCUUUUCUUGGUUAUUAGAUGCUCUAAUCGAGAUUUGCUUAAGUAGAAAUUGGCGUGCACACUCUCCGAUCAGCACGUGCAAAAAAAUUUCUAUUACGUUUUGAAAUUUAUCAUGUUUAAAUAAGAGUAAAUGAGAGGCUGAUGGAUUACUGUUUAGUUUGUUUAAUAGAAUAAAAUCAUUAGUUUUGAAAUCAGAACCAUUCUCAAGUUUAAAAACUUUUUAAGUUAGUAAACUCUGACUUUAAUUAUAUUUAAUCAAAUUCGCUCACACCAUCAAGGUUAUUUAUUAAAAAAAAAAAUUGCGAUUUAUAUAUGUUUGUCCUCUUUUAGGCGGUUGAAAAAGAAAAUGGAAAUUUUUUAGUUUUUGUCAGUUUUUCUAUCAAAAUUUCUUUGCAUAUACAUAAUCUCGAUGAUUAGUUAUAACCUUAAUAUUUUUAAUUCUUUCUAGUGAUAUUAAUUUAACUCUAAUAAUUUCUUUUAACAUGAACCUAUUGUAAAUUAGUCUGUUAUAAAACAAACACAAGACCUAGGUCAAAGGACAUCAUGAAAUUAGAAAUUCCUUGGGCAUGGAUUAAGCAAUAUCUUGUAAUUAAAUGUUUACUUUUAUUAUAUAUAAGAACUAUUUCAAUAUUUUUAUUUUUAUUAAAAUAAUAGGUUUUGUCAUAAAUUUAAAUUAUAUAUUUAAGUACAAUAUUAAUAUGAAUUAUUAAUAGGUCUAAAUAAUAUGAAUUUUAUAAUAAAUAAGUAUAUAUUAUGUUAUUUUCAUUAUGUAAAAGAAUUAUAAUCAAUUUCAUUUUAUUUUUUAAGUAAGCUUACUAUUAACUUAAAUAAAAAGUACUACUUUAUUAAUAAACUUAUAGUUUUAUUAAUAAAGUGAAAUAAUAAAUUUAAUAUAAAGAAUAGUAUAAAGAAUUUAAAUAAACAAUACCUUGCAUAAUACACUAAACAUUAAUGUUAUUCAAUACAGCUUAAGUAACAUAAUGUGGUGCACUAAACACGCCAUAAGUUUUUACAAAUUUGAUGCUUGAGAUAUUACAUCUUCAUUUUUGCGGCGCACAUUAUUUUGGAUGAAUCUUGUUAUUUGCAUAGUAUUGUUGUUAGGAUUUCACUUGAUUUAUUCUAAAUUUUCAGGGACAAAUUAAUAGAAAAUGGCGUCUACGAGCAUCCAAAAUGUCUCUCAGGGGAAAUAUGAUGUCUUCUUAAGCUUUAGAGGAGAAGACACUCGUAAAAGCUUCACGGAUCAUCUCUCUGCGGCUUUGAAAAAUAAAGGCAUUUAUGUAUUUAGGGAUGACAAAGAACUUCAGAAAGGAGGAUCCAUUUCACCUGGACUCCUUAAAGCAAUUGAAGAAUCAAGAAUUUCAGUUAUUGUUCUCUCAAAAAACUAUGCUUCUUCCACUUGGUGCUUGGAUGAACUUGUUAAGAUCGUUGAAUGCAAAAAUAGAGAAGAUCAAUUUUUUCCAAUUUUCUAUGAUGUGGAACCGACUGUGGUGAGAAAACAGACAGCAAGUUUUGGAGAAGCUUUUGCUAAACACGAAAAAGUUUUUAGGAAUAAUGUAGAAAAGGUGCAAAAGUGGAGAGACGCUUUAAAAGUGGUGGCUAAUAAAUCUGGCUGGGAAUUGAAGGACAGGUAAUCAUUCUUAUUCUCUAUUAUUAAUUCCUUUUUCUUUUUUUCUUUUUUUGGUGUUGCAUGAUUCGUAACUACGAAACAGAUUUUAGUAUUCAUGAUUCAACACUAUUUUCAAUUACAAUAGUAGUACUAUUAAUGAAUAAUAUUUGCAAACGAAGAUUUAAAUUAUUGUAUUUUGAACUUUAGAAGACUAUAUAAUAUGUUGUGAUGCUUUGUGCUCUAUCAAUCAAAUUUAAAAAAUAAAAAGGAAACUUUAUUCUUUGAUUGACUCUUUGCUAAAUACUAAUAAGAGCAAUGAACAGCAAUGAUAUAUCAAUAUCAUUACGUAUUUAGCUAAUCUAAUUAAUUUUAUGUGUGUAAUAAUGAUCUUUCUAAUUAAUUUUUUAUGUGUGUAAUAAUGAUCUUAUCAAAAACUUAUCUAAAAUCUCUUUCAAUGAAAUUUAUCAUGUUAUAGAAAGAAAUAAUAUAUCAAUAAUGAAUGAAAAAAACAGCAGAAGAAAUUAAAUAAUUUUUGAACCCUCAAAUCCCAAUGCAACCCAAUCCAUACGAAUUUUAUUGUGUCGAGUUUAAAUUUUCUCAUUCCAAUUGUUUUUAACUUAACUAUGGCAGGUUACUUAAUUAUAUGGCUUCAAUUCAAUGAAAUGAUACAGGGUCUACUGACGUUCGUAUGAUAGGGAUAUGGGGUAUGGGAGGUCUAGGAAAGACAACUCUUGCAAGAGUUGUUUAUGACUUGAUCUCUCACGAAUUUUAUGCGAGUAGUUUCCUUGCUGAUGUUAGAGAAAGAUCUGACAAAGAAGGCAGUGUAAUCUCUUUACAAAAGCAACUCCUUUCCAAUUUACUGAAUCUUGGAGAUAUUAACUUAUGGCAUGUAGAUGAUGGUAUUAACAUAAUUGGAAGUAGGCUGCGACAGCAAAAGGUUCUUCUUGUAAUCGAUGAUGUAGCUGAUGUUGAACAACUACAAAGUUUAGCUGGAAAGCGUGAUUGGUUUGGUCUAGGCAGCAGGAUUCUAAUAACAACGAGAGAUAAACAGUUGUUAGUGGCACAUGAAGUGGAUGAAGAGCAUAUUCUUAACCUUGAUGUACUAAAUGACAAUGAAGCUCUUCAACUCUUUAGUAUGAAAGCUUUUAAAACCCAUCAGCCAGUGGGAGAAUAUGUGGAGCUAUCUAAACGUGUUCUGAGGUAUGCCAGUGGUCUUCCAUUAGCUCUAAAAGUUUUGG